CAAAAUGAAACAAGUCAAUUCUCGUGAAUUCAACUAGCUCACACGCGAGUCAACACCAAACUCAGUUAGUCAACCAUCCAAAAUGCGAAUUAGAGAAUUGUGGUGUGACACGCCAACCAACAAUGCUUCUCAGCACCAGUUGUCGGUGUUCAUCUUCCUUUCUUGAAGGUAAGAAUGGAAAAAAAAAAGAAAUACCUAGCUAAUGUCAGUUUUUGUUGAUUGGAUUUUUUUGAAAGUCUUUUUGUUGUUGAUUUUCAGAACAUUUUUUUUCUUUUUCAGUUCUUGGUUUGCAAAAUUACAUGUAAUUUGCACCAAAAAUUGUUUAUACCCUACAAAUGUAUGUUUGUUUCAUUUUAAAAUAGCUUUCAUAAAAAUUUUUCAUAAAAUGAAAAUAUUUUAUAUAGAUUCAUCCGAACACCAGAAAAUAAUAGUUUUUUCAGAAAAAUAAGUUAUUUCCAAAAAUUAUUUUCUGAAAACCAUUUUACAUGCAAACAAAUGGACCUUAAAAAAUUAUUAAUUAUUAAAAAUGAAGUUGUUUGACAGCUUCAGCGCCUACUUCCAUUUCGUUUAACUAAUAUUUUCCAGAUAUUAUAAACGGAUUUCUUCAGUUUUUUAGACGUGUCGAUGUGUUUUCUUUAGACUUAGGUAUCUUAGGUAUUUUAUAACCAUUUGUAUGCAUGUUUUAUCUUAUUGUAGUUAUAUUUAGAGUAUUUUAUAUUUAUAUAAAUUUAAAAAAAAUUAGUAAUCUAUAUUAUAUAAAUUUUGAAACAACCGUUGGUAUUAUUUUAAGAAAGAAUAGAAGAUUAAUAUUAACAAUUGAACUUUCUUCAGUCACUGGCUCCCUCAAGUGAUGGAAGAAAUAAGAUUUAAUGAAUUAUAACAUAAUUUCAUUAUUAUGGGUGUUUGAAAUGAAUUUAUUUCAUAAAAACAAUUAUAAAAUGAAGAAAAAAAACCCUAAUCAAGUAGAGAAACUUCCUUUGUUUCUGAAAUGAAAAUUUCUUUCUUCUUUCAAAUUAGUCAAUUAAUUAAUGCUUUUAUGAAAGGAAAAGAGAGAGAGAGAGAGAAGGAAAUUGACUAGAAAGGACGAAAAAGAGGAAGACAAUCUAGAAGUCAAGCUGCUGCUUCUUCUAAACAUAAAAGCAUAACCGGGGACCAACGUCCUGUCACAUCCAUACCCUAAUUAAAAAAAAAAUGGUCAUAAUCAUCGUAUAAGAGUUUGGUGAAAUAAUGGAGGAGUUUCCCGGAAAUAAUGAAACAAGAAAGAGGGAGGAAAACGGUAACAACGUGAUUUAAGAAAUUCGGCAAUUCCUUGGCAUAGCAAGGAAAAUCCAGGACUUGGACAAGUGAUUAUAUCACUCCAAACCAUUCAUUUAAUUUUUUUUUAGCUGAUUCCGCAUGCAAAUGAAUCACGUGUCACCAUUUAAUUAAACUUUUAAAAUUUAAAAAUAUUAAAAGUUAAUUUUCAUAAUUUUAUAUUUUAAAUAAUUUUAGUUUUUAAAAGUAAUUUUAUGUUUUUUGAAUUUUUUAAAAUUUAAAAAAUUAAUUGAAUGCUAAUGUGUCAUUUGCGUGACAAUUCAUGUGUAUGUUAACAAUGUUAAAAGAACGUUAAUUUUUUCAUCUAUUUUAGAGUGAUUCGACAAAAAAUAUAAACUUAAGAGCUAAAAAAAAGUGAAAAAUUAAAUAAAGGGUUACAAUGACUUUUUUAUUAUUAUAUAAAGUUAGAGCCAUUAUUGAAUUCAUAUAAGCUCAAAUUAAAUUUAAUUAGAAAUUUAAAAACAAUUUUAAAAGUUUCUAAAUUAAUACUUAUAUACUAAUUAAAAUUAAAUAAAAUUUUUAUUAUGAAAUAAUAAAAUUAUCGAUUGAAUAUAUAUAAUUUUUUUGAACAAUCUCAUUAUAGGUUCUGAUCAUAUCUGCUCUUUACCCAUAGCCUCUUCCCAACUCAUAAAUAAGAGAAUAAUGCAUUUUAACGCACUCGAACUCACAUAUUCCUACAUUAGCAACAAUGCCCAUGCCGAUUGAGCUAAAACUCAAUCGACUAAUUAUCGAUUGAAAAUUAGUUUAAUUAGUAUUAACAUAAUUGCCAAUAUAGGAGGAUAUGAGUUCAAUUGCGCUAAAAGACAUUUCUCCUCUUUAUAAGAUAGAAAGAGAUUAUAGGUAAUUAUAAACUUUGUUUAAUAAUAAUAAAAUUGGUGUAACGCAACACAACUAAAUGUGUAAAAACCUUGUUAAUAUCCAAUUAAAAUAAUGGAAAUUGUCCUGAUGGUGCUUGAGAUAAUUAAUGCAAAAGUUACAGUGCUGGGAUGCAUGGUUUCUAAUUAAAUUCCAUUCACUGUCUUUUUCCAUGCAAUUUUCCAUCCUGGGAUUCAACUUGAAAAAGACAUCUUCACCGCUACUACAUGGUUCUUUUUUCUGGAUGUAAAUUACAGGAUUGUGGCAGCUGGAAAAUUUGCAAACCAGGUAAUCAAACAUAGCAAAUAUUUGUUAAAUUGAGUUAUAAUUGGAGCUCAAUAUCUCAAUUGGCGAUGAAGAAAUCAAGUAAGAUUUGGAUGAUUGAUGUUUAUUUAUGUUAAUUGUAGAUAAAGUCCAAGCUAGAAAAUUUUAUAUUAAAAUCAAGAUUGAAUAUAAUUUUUAAAAUAUCAUUUUGUCAGUUUAUACUUUAUAGUUUUAUAGCUUUUUAAAAUCCAUUAAAAAUCAAUUUUGACUUUGGGUGCAGCCCUUGAUUGUAGAUCGUAAUGGAGGUUAUCACAGAAGAAGUGUUGCACAAGAUUAUUGAUGAGAGAAAUGAACGCAAGAACUGAAUCAGAGCCAGAGCCAAAGGCAAGAGUUAGAGAAAAAUUUGGAAGUCAUUGGAUAUGAUGACUUUGGAAAGCUCCAUUGCUUGUAAUUUGUAAUUUAAUGGAGUUUUCCACACUGACUUGAAAGUGUUCUCCAACCUGGAUUUUGAUUUUUCUUUUAUUAUCUGACUUUAUUUCUUAUUUUCUUUCAUUUUUUUUUCUCUAACAAAAGCAUGCAACCCCCAGCACCACAAUUUCUGGUAAUUUUUAUAAUUGCAUACAAUUUAUCUACAUAUUCUACACUUUCAACUUAUAACUAUAUAUUUGUAAUGAAGGAAAUUUGCCGUGAAGAAGUAAGAAGAAGAUACCCUAGCCUCUCUUUUUCCUUUUUCCAUAUUUAAUCUAUAUAACUUCCUAACAACUGUAAUAAUAGGAGAGAGAGAGAAAAAACAGGAAUAAGAAACAUUGGGCAAAUUUGAAGAAGAUACCGAUUUUUAAAAACAUUAUGGAAAUGAGCAACUUUUUUCAAAAUUUAAAGAAUUAAUAGGUCGCUUUUGAAAAUAAAAAACUGAAAAUGUACUACUUUCUAACCUUUUAAAUAUAUGUUAGAUAGUUAAAUGAUAGUGGUUUUAUCCUAAAAUUUUAGGUUCGAUUCCUCUCCUACUCACAUUUUUAUUUUUAUUUCAUGUUGUUGUUUUUUUGUUAUUGUUAAUUAAUAUAUUUAUCAUAUCAGUUCCUUUGGUUAGAUGAUUUCAUUGAGUCCCAAGUUUAAUUUCUCUUCUAAGUACAUUUGUAUUUUUUUAUUUUUAAUUAAUAAAUAUAUUAUUUUCAUUUUUAAAUUUUAAUUAAUAACUAUUUUAUUUAUAAAAUUAAAUAAUAAAUAUGCAAUUAUAUAAUAAAAAUAUAUAUUUUAUACAUAUCAUUAUGUUAAAAAUAUUUGAAACUAAUAACUCCUUUAUUUAUAUAAAUAAAUUAAUAAAUAUAUAAUAAAAAUAUAUUUUUUAUAUUUACAAUUAUGUUAAAUAUAUUUUAUUUUUAAAAAAACAUCAAUUAAUUUUUUGAUAUGUUUUUCUUUAUAUAUAAUAUUUAAAUUUCAAAUAUUGAUUUUAUCCACCUAUAUUGUGGGUAUGAUGAUUUCUAAUAUUAUAAAAUGAAAUAAUUAUUUCAAAUAUCAUUAUUAUUUUUAUAUGUAAAAAUAUUCCAAAUAUCAUUGUUUUUCAUCACAAUAUGAUAAUUCAAAUAUUUUUAUAUGUGAAAUAUUUCAAUUACUUAUUACAAAUAUUAUUAUGUUUAUAUGUGAAAUAUUUCAAAUAAUUCUUUCAUAUACACAUACAAAAAUAUAUAAUACUAAAAUUUACUACACUCAUGAUAUGGAUUGAAAAAUAAAUAUUACACAUAUAAAAAUUAUAUUUACUAAAAAUGCUGAUAUUCGCAAUAAUUAUUUUAUUUUAUAAAUAAAAGAGUUUUUAAUUAAAAAUUAAAAAUAAAAAAAAAACUUAAACAUGAAAUAAAAAAAAGAUAAAUGUGCUUUAGAAGAAAAAUUAAAAUUGGGACUUAAGGAUAAAAUUACUAUUAUUUAAUCAUCUAACCAAAGUAACUGAUGCGAUAAAUAUAUUAAUUGAAAGUAACAACAAAGUUUGAAACAACAUAAAAUAAAAAAACACAAAUGUAAAUGUAAGUAAAAAAAAUUGAAUCUGAGACUCAAAGACAAAAUUAUUAACGUUUAAUCAUGUAACAAAAAGGGCUAAUAUGUAAAAGAAAAAUACCAGAAAACACAUCCCACAUUCCACACUUUCACCUUCUCUCAAAAAAAAAUUUAUUUCCCUAAAUUUUUUAGAAAAUAGUGCAUUUCCAUAUAUAUAUAUAUUUAAAUUGGUAUUUUUUUUUUCAAAUUUGCCCUAAAAGCAUAUAUGUAUAUACAAAAAUAUAAAAAACCCAGGUCGUUGGUCAGCCAUGUCUGUUAGUUGAGAUUCCCAGAAAUGAAGCGCGUCGCAAGAUUUCAGCUUCCAGCCCACCUCUUUUUACUUUCCUAAACCGUGUAAAACCCGUGUCGGAACAUCUCAUAUAGUAUAAACCCUAUACUAUACAUGCUAUGAAACCUGAAACCAGACAAGAACAAAUUGGUAUGAAGACCAAAUGAAGUGCAUAAUUCUGCAGACUAAGAGAAGGGAAAUGGGAAUUCUAAGAAAGAAAUUUUGAUGGAAGAGAAAGGAAAGCAUCAGAGAAGUGCAAAGGCAAAAGUUAGAGAAAAAUUUGAAGACAAUGAAUAUGAGUGUGAACAAUUCCAGCGGAUUUUUACCAUAUACAGUCAAUAUGUUAGAUGUUUGGUGGAAUUGGUUCAUCUUCAUAAUCAUUGGCUUCAAAUUUUUCUCUAACUUUUCUUUGCCCUUCUUUGAUGAUUUCUUAAUUUCCUUCUAGAUUUGACAGCAAAAUUAUGUUGUUCAUUUGGUCUGUUUCUUUCUUCCCUAAUUUGGAAGUUAAAGUCAACUUAAACUCGGUCGUCUCCUAAGGAAAUUAAGGUGGUCAAGGGAGGAAUCAUGAAAGAUGUUGAGAGAGGAAAGCUUGGUUGGGCAAAUUAGAGAAGAAGAAUCCUGGAAUUGGAUCCUGAAAUUUGAAGUCAACUGAUAGAAUUGGUUUGGUUGCAGCUUUUUCUGGAUUGAUGUUGUCUUGUAUGUGGUACAUAUUCAAAUAUGCUAAAUAUAAGUGCUUUAAAAUAUUUAUGAUAUAUGAAUAUCAGUUGCAGGCAUCAAAUCCAUGGGGCCACUGCCCAUGUCAAUACAUAUAUUGUUAUAACAUUCUCUUAAUUGGACUGUUGUAAAAAUGUAAGGUCACCAUUAAAUUCUGCACAUAUUUCGGUAAAUUAUGAAUUACAUUUACAGCAAGCUAAAAAUAUCCAUAAAUCACAAUAAAAUUGAAAUUCCCUACACCCUAAAACCUUGUCCAUUCUAAUAAACUAAUAUACAUCUUCAUCUUUGUCAUAAUUCUCAAGUAUUUUCCCCUUUCCUUUGUCUCUCGAGGAUUUAUUAUAAGUUUUAGCAAUUUUCCCUUUUUUCUUUUGUCAAUUGUAAUUUCCCCUUUCCUCUGUCGAUUGAAGAUACAUGAUCAACAAAACUGGAGAAAAGCUGCAUAAUAAAUAUGAUUAAGUAGAAGUUGUUAACUUAUCUAUGCGUGAAUUAAUUUUCUAAUAUAAAGCUAAAGUUAUAAAUCUACAUUCUUUAUUUUUUUGCAAGCACAAAUUUUGAUUCAUGUUUAUAAAAAUUUUCAUGAAUUCGUAGGAAUUUUUUUCUUCCCAUUCUGUAGUUGUAAUCAUUUAACUGCACCUGAAAUAUAUGUAUAUAUAUAUGUUCAAGCAGACAACUGGUGUAGAACAUUCUCGAUUUUGUAGUGUCCAUAUUCUUGUAAAAAAAGUGUUUUAUUGAGUGAAUUAUGUACUUAUAUAUAAGAUAAGAGAAAGAUCGUGUAGUAAAAUAAAUAUGAAAUUCAAUUUGAGAACCUUAGACUGAAUUUGGAACAUUUGUUCCACAGUGUAAUCUAGAAUUUGUUUUCAAUAUAUAAGAUAAGAGAAACACCGUGUAGUAAAAUCAUUAGGAUUUGUUUUCAAUAUAAUUCUACGCAUUCACGGGUUUUGUCGUCCCUAUUGCUCUCGGUUAAUGUUUAGGUUUGAAUUCUCCAAUGGAGCCUUAAUUUAAUUUAAUAUUUCUAUUUAUUUAAUAAAAUAAAAAUAAAAUUUGUUCUUGAGUCAACCUUCUCAAUCUUUAUUGACUUAAGUUAAGGCUCUUGAUUUUUUUUCAAUGAACAUAUAUUCAUCUAAUUAUUGAUGAAUCUCUAUUGAUGCUUUAUUACGUUGCUCUUUAUAAGAUGCUUCAUAGACCUUACAUAUUAGAAUCCUAUAUCAUUUCAUUGCUAUUUCUGUUUCUUUCUUUCUCUCAUCCUUUUAUUUAUCCACAUACUUUUAAUUUUGCUUCACAAUUUCGAUCUAUUCAUAAUUAAAUUGGUUUUGUCUUUUACUUAAUGAAAAAAAAAUUCAGUUGCUAUAAUGAUAUGACCAAUACAUUAUAUCUUGACUGAUUCUUUGGAUCUAGAUAAUUCGAAGCGAUGAGUUGGUUAUUAGUGCCAUAAUUAUUAGCUUAUACUAUGGUCUGCCCAUUUUUUUUUGAAUCCUAAGCCUAAAAAACCCAACGAGUCGCACACUAAGCAUAGCAAUUAUAUCAAAUUAUCAAUCAAAUUUUUAUUUAACCUUAUAGAAUUUCCUUAUAGAAUUUAGAACUGCUCAUUUUUUUAUGUUCAAUAAAAAAUCAAAGAAUUUGUCAAUUUUUGUUUUAUCGCAGAAUAAAACGUAAAGACAAGUAGAGUCUUAUUCUUAUUAUUCUGUCCAUAAAUAUCCAAAAUUUGAUUCCUAAUACCCCAUAGAUAGUUCGAACUCUAUAAGAGCAAUACUCAAUUUUCACUCCAACGGUUUGUAGAGGAACCCUACCUUCUCGGAUCCAUUCGACACAUGCGAUUUCUUUUCUGUCAAUACACCUUGCAAUUUGUGUUUGAAUUCCUUUUUAUUUGCUUACUCAGUUAAUUCAAUAGCCUUUUUCAUUGCCUUUUGAAAUGAAACUCAAUUCUUUAAGUGUCCACCUAUAAAUUCAGCAAGAAUAUUAAGGUGCUCAUAAGGAUUUCCAAUUCUUGUAAUAGCAAUGUUGAGUUUUUGGUUCAUACAAUUAAGUACUUUUUGCACAUUCAUCUAUAGUUUUUCAAGUUUUUGUGGCUUAUCUUCAAUUAAUAACUUAGGAAAUCCAAUAUAGAUUAUCACCUAAAUUAGAUCCAGUCCUUUUUGAAUCUCUAUACGUGUAAUUCCUUCGACACCAGAAGAUAGUCUCAUAUUUUUUUGUACAUAAUUCUUGAUACAGUCUCUUAUUUUUUUUUUAUCUUCUUGUAGACCCUCGAAAUACUUUUUAGGUUGUGCAAACUAAAGAGAAUGAUGACUUUAUGUUGUACCAAGCUUGAAACCAAGUGAAUUUAUUUUUUAUCCCAUAAUCCUCCACUACUAUAUAUUAGGAUAUGUCAUAUUUGUGUUCUUAUUUAUCCCCUUUUUCAGCCAUCCUAGCCAUCCGGUGUUUUUUGGUUUUGGGUGCAGCAUAUAUCUGUCAAGUGGUUCAAAUUCAAGAUAUUUCAAUGCAAUAGUUAUAUGACAAGUGGGUCUUUUUAUCAAAUAACUCCAUCAUUGAGCACGAGGUUUUAGUCUUUUCAGAGUAGUUCCCUCAUUUACUACGACUUGACUAAUGAUUAAACUCAAUUCAUUGAAACCCCUAUUGUGACGAGCAUUUGUUGCUGUAGAAUAAACCAAUUUUAAAAUGGGAUAACAUGCUCGAUAAGGCAUGAGUUCUAGUAUCAUAAGUGUUUCCUCGUAGGAACAUCCAUUAAUCUGAUCAAUUAUUCUUCAUGCUUCUUGGUUUGACACUGUUUCACACCAAAAAAGAAGUAAGCUACGUCUGAAUUAAACUGGAAGAUGGAAGCCUUCUUUCGUUUCUUGAUGGUGAUGUAAUAUCAAGCCCAUGAGCUUAUAAUCCUAGGUCAGAACAAGUUGAUAAGAUCCCCUUUUGUGCCCCUGGGUCCCCUCAUGUGGCGAUAUGGGGGCAUAAAAAGAAAAAAGAGGUAUGGGGUUUCUCUCAGUUUUGGCAUAGCAGGCCCCCAAAGGGAGGCCUACACGACAGGCUAUUAGCUUAGUGGUAGAGCGCGCCCCUAAUAAUUGCGUCGUUAUGCCUAGCCUAUGAGGGAUCUUAAACACAUGGAUAGUUCAAUGUGCUCAUCAGCACCUGAUCCUAAGAUGUGGAUCAUCCAAGGCAUAUUAGCAUGGCGUGCUUCUCCUAUUUGAAUCGAGGUUUGGAACCAAACUUCUCCUAAGGAGGAUAGAUACGACGAUUUAGGUGAGAUCCAAUGUACAUCUAACUUUCUAUUCACUCGUGGGAUCUAGACGGUUCGGGGGAGACCACCAUGACUUCUCUCUUCUCGAUAAUCCAUACAUCCAUUAUCAGUGAAUAGAUAGCUAUCUCUUGAGCAUAGGUUUAGGUUUGGCCUCAAUGGGAAAAUAAAAUGGAGAACCGAACAACGUAUCUUCACAGACCAAGAACUACGAGAUCGCCCCUUUCAUUUUGGGGUGACGGAGGGAUCAUACUAUUCGAGCCUUUUUUUUAUGCUUUUCCCAGAGGUCCGGAGAGAGCUGCAAUCAAUAGGAUUUUCCUAAUCCUCCAUUCCUGAAAGGAAGAACGUGAAAUUCUUUUUCUUUCCGUAGGGACCAAGAGAUUGGAUCUAGCCAUAAGAAGAAUGCUUGGCUAAGAAAUAAUUCACUUCUUGGUCUUCGACCCACUCAGUCAAUACGAGCACCCUCGAUCAAUGCAAUGGGAUGUGUCUAUUUAUCUAUCUCCUAACUCAAAAUGGGAAAAUAUUUGAAAAAGGAUAUUAGAGUGUUUAGGGUUGGACCAAGAGGGUCUCUUAAUGCCCUCUUUUUUUUCUUCCCGUCGGAGUUAUUUCUUAUUUCACAAAUACUUGCCAUGGUAGGGAAGAAUGAGGGAACAAACACACUUGGAGAGCACAGUACAAAAGAGAGUUGUAUGCUGCAUUUGGGAAGGAUAAAUCGCUCUUAAAAAGGAAUUUAUUGAUUCUCUCCCAAUUGGUUGGAUUGUAGGUACGGUGAUUUACUUCAUGGGUGAGGUCUCUAGUUCAAGUCCAAGAUGGCCCAGCUGCGUCAAGGAAAAGAAUAGAAGAAGCAUCUAACUCCUUCAUGCAUGCAUCACUUGGCUUGGGGGAUAUAGCUCAGUUGGUAGAGCUCCACUCUUGCAAUUGGGUCGUUGCAAUUACGGGUAGGGUGUCUAAUUUUCCAAGCAGUAAUAAUAGUAUAUUGUACCCAAACUGGUGACUUUUUUAAGUAAUAGGGAAGAGGAUCGAAACAUGCCACUAAAAGACUGCUGAGACAAAGAUGGGCUGUCAAGAACGUAGAAGAGGUAGGAUGGGCUGUUGGUUAGAUCUAGUAUAGAUCGUACAUUGAAGGUAGUUGGAGUCCUCUUGGUUUUAAAUAUCCAUUUACAACCAAUUGGUUUUGCACCUUCAGGUAAUGGGACAAGUUCCCUAACUUUAUUGUCUUGCAUAGACAUAUAUUCAUUUCUUAUGGUAUCAAUCCACUUUUGAGAAUUAGAAAUUUUUACGGCCUGAUGAAAGUUGAUUGGAUCAUCUUCCAUCAUUCCAUUAUCAUCCUCAUGUUUUUGGAGAAAUACAACAUAAUCGUCUGGAAUAACAUUUCUCCUUUCUCUUGUGGACCUCCUUAAUGACACUUGUUCUUGAGUUUGUUGAGUUUGUUCUUCUGGAACAAUUACCUCAUGUUGUUCAACAUUGUCUUGUUGAGGUUUAAGAUUCACUUCUUGAUCAAUGAUAGGUAUGAGAACUUGAACAUCGUAAAAAGUGAUAGUAGGAACUGAGUUAGAAUCUAAUUCUCCUCAAAAGUAAUGGCUCUAACCUUAUUUCUCCCUCCAAACUCCACAUCCUAAAAACAUGUUGCAGUUCCUGUCUCAAAAAUAUUCCUAAUUAUAGGAUCAUAAAACUUAUAGCCCCUAGAUUGCUCAGAAUAACAAAUAAAGUAGUUGUUCCUGUUUUGAAGUCUAAUUUCUUUUUAUGUGGCCUAUAAGGCCUUGCCUCAGUUAGACAAUGUUUUUGCAACUACUUUAGUGGAUACUUUAUUCAGAAUGUAAGGUACUUUAAUGCUUCUCCCCAAAGGGACUCAGGUAAGGUAGUAUGAGCAUUCAUGUUCCUUACCAUAUCCUUAAGAGUUUUUUUUUGUCUUCAGCUACACCAUUCAUACUAGUUGAUCUUGGCAUGGUGUACUGUGGGACAAUACUGCAUUCGUUUAGGAAUUUUUCAAAUGGUCCUGGACAUUAUUCUUUUGAGCCAUCAUAUCUACCAUAGCACUCACCACCACGAUCAGAUCUAAUGUUUUUAAUCCUUUUGUUGAGUUGAUUUUCAACUUCCGCUUUAUAAGCUUUGAACACAUCCAGAGACUGAGAUUUCUCAUGAAUGAGAUAUAGGUACCCUUAAUGUGAGUAAUCGUCUAUGAAUGUUAUGAAAUAUUGUUGACCAUUCUAGGAUACCUUAGGGAAUGACCCACAAAUAUUUGUAUGAAUUAAUUCUAAGACGUCUGAAGAUCUGUUUGCACCCAAUCUCUUGGGUGAAGUCAAGGGACUCUAAAGUACCAUCAGACAUAAGGUGUUCAACUCUAACUUUUGAGUUAUGACCUAAGCGCUUAUGCCAUAAUGAUGCUGAAUUUUGCUUAUUUAAUUUGUGUUUAAUAACACAUGAUUCCACAUGCAAAGUUUCAUUAUAGGAUGCAACUAUUUCUAGCAAAUAAAGGUUGUCAUAAGUAUUUAAAUAUCCAGUUCCAACAACAUUCGAAUUUAAAGGAAAACUAAAUUGAUUGUUUUUAAUGAAUAAUAAUAUCCAAAUUUGUCCAACGAAGAAACAAAAACUAAAUUCCAUCUAAAUGAUGGUAUAAUAAAAGUGUCUUCUAAAUCCAAAUAAAAACAAAUUUCUAAUAACAACCUAAAAUUCCUAAUUGCUUCCACUUCUACCAAUUUUUCAUUGCCCACGAAGAUGUGUCUUUCACCAUCACUUGGCUUUCGGUAACUCAGACAACCUUGCAUAGAAACAAUUAUGUGAGUAGUAGCACCAGAAUUUAUCCACCUAGUGUUUCUAGGUACUGAAGCUAAAUUAACCUCAUAACAGACCAAAUUAAAAAUUAUAUCUUUCUUUGCACACCAGACAUGAUAUUUGGUACAUUCUUUCUUCAUGUGCCCAGACUUGUUACAAAAGAAACAACUCUCUGUAGCUUGCUAUUGCUUCUUUUGAGUUGGACCCUUAGCAGCUUCAUUCUGAUAUUUUCUUUUCUUAACUUUGUCUUUAGGGGCAUUGUCUAAAUAAGCACUUUUAGACUUAUCACGCUUCAACCUUUCUUCUUCCUGCACACAAUGAGAAAUGAGCUCAUUUAGAGUCUAUUUCUCCUUUUGACAAUUAUAACUAAUUUUAAAUUUAUUGAACUGUGCAAGAAGUGAUACCAAAACCAUACGAACAAACAAUUCCUCAGAAAGCUCGAUCUUAAAUUCUUUAAGUCUUGAAGCAACAUGGAACAUCUCCAUAAUAUACCCCGUCACAUUUCCUUCACCCUUAUACUUCAUAGUCAUCAAAGAAGUUAGAAGUGAUGUCAUCUCAACCUUAUCAUUUUUAGCAAAACGUUUCUCAAUUUCGUCAAGGAAACCCUUGGUUUGAGUAAUCUCUUCAAAUUUUGUACCCCUAAAGGCUUCUGAAAUGUUGUGUUUCAUGAUCAUUAAACUCAUGCAAUUUGAAUGAUCCCACCUCUCAAAAUCCCUCUUAACAUCAGGGGUGCUUUCUGUAGUGAGAGGUGCAGGUUGUUCUUCCUUGAAUUUAAGGUCUACGUCCAUACAGCCAAGCACUAUAAGUAAGUGCCUUUUCCAUUCCUUAGAAUUAGUCCUAUUAAGCAUAGGUAUAUAAUUUAUAUUUGUAGAUACUGUGGCAGCAGAAGAUGAACUUGCUAAAUAUAGAAUAAAUAAAAACAAGCUCACAUCAAUAUUCAUAAGUAAACAAUAAAUUCAAGAUAAUGGCUAAUCUUAUCUCAAGAUACCAAACGCAAUAUUAACAUCAGGUCUUUGGAUAAUAAUAUUAAUAGUAAGCGAUACUCUUGUUGUAGCAAUUAAAUAUUGACAAUAAAUUAUGUUAAAGAAUUAAUUAAUCUUUGGACUAACUUAUUGCUCACAUAAAAUACCUUAUAAUUGUCACACAUUUAUCACCACAGAUAUUGUUGAAAUUCUACCAAAUAUUAACUUACCUUUUGGUCAAUCAAUAAACGCAUUAAUCACAAAAACAGAUUAAUCACAAGUCGAUGAGGGGCAAACCUCACUAAGUGUGAAUCUAGACAAAUCCCUAUCGCCUAAAAGGGUUGAGACCUUGCCUUUUUAAGUGUGUUCUUUAUUUUUGCAUUUUCUUUUUAGUAUGUCUAAUGUAUGGUUUGCCUUUUUCUUUUUUACUUACUUUCAUGUAACUUAUUUGGGAUCUUUGAUUUCUACUAGUAUUGAAUAUAUGAAUAUUCAGUCUUCGGAAAAAGUUUAAAAAAUAAUUAUCAUAAAAAUGGAUUUACAGAUGUAGAGUUUGUAUUGGAUAGUUGAUAAUGUGCUUAAUUGAUAUUUUUUUAUGAUUAAUUUUAAUUAAUUUUGGAUAUAGAUGCUAUUAAUUUUGGUAUUUUUUUCUAUUAAUUUGACAUAACAUUGAACUUCACAACCUCAUAUGUUAAGUAUUCUCCAAAAAAUGUUUUUCGAGAAAUAAAUUUUGGAAACACUUAAUUAAUUAAAUAAUAUUAAAAUAUGUUAUACUUAAGUCAAAAUAUGAUCUCCCAUGAAUAAUUAUUAGAAAAGGUUAAAUUCUUGUAUUAGUCCCUAUGCUUUAUAAAAGUUAUAAAUUUAGUCUCUGUACUUUAAUUUAAUCAAUUUUAAUCCAUGUACUUUUCAAAAUUUAAAUUUUCCAUCCUCAACAAACGAUUAAAUUCAUUAUGUUCUAUUAUUUCUAAAAUUUGAUAAGGAAAACAUAUGAUCAUAUGUGUAAUGCUAUGUUAGCUUGUUAUUUCUACACAUUACUCACUAAAAAUCCAAUUGAUGGAUAAAUGACUGUCAUUUGCGUCAAGAAUGGAAAUUCAAAAUUCUAAAAGUAUAGAGACUUAAACUAAUCCAAUUGGAGAAUAUUGACUAAAUAAAAAUUCUAAUUCAUUUUGGGGCAUGUAUAGUAUUAAUUUUGGUAUUGUUUUUCUAUUUAGGUGUAUUUGGAAUGCACGUUGAAAGGUGAAUUACUUUGAUAAGGUGAAUUACUUUGAUAAUUUGAUAUGGAAGCAAAAUUGGUGAAAGAGUUUCAUAAAAAAAAAACGGCAUACUAAACUUAUUAGAUUUUGGGGUUAUUUCGUUUUAAUAAUUAUUUUUUAUUUGAAUUUUUUGUAAAGAUAUUUAUUUAAAAAUUUAAUUAGUAUUACUUUUUAUUAGAUAAAUACUUAUGAUUUGUAAUCUUCCCGACUCAGCCUAGACGUUAGACUCGAUUCGAGAAGAUCACAUUAGUCAUUGAGGUGGCUCGGUUUUUAUAAAAAAUAAUUUUCGUUUUAAAACCUGCUUUAUGCUAGUGGAUAUCUUUUUUUUUUUAAAUUUAAUCUAUCAUCAUUAUAGCUGCAGAGUUUAAAUAAUAAUUCGUAAAUCUCUUUUUAAAAAUAAAAAAAUAAAAUCAACCUUUUUUUAUCACAUAAUAAUAAGGACCUUAUUACAACCUUAAUUGUAUAGAAUAAAUAUCUACUUAAAUGUCCUUUUCAUUAUGAAUAAUGUCAUGCAACCUAAACGUUUAAAUUAGAAAUUUUAUCCCCUACCAUGGUUCUUAAUAAAAUAAAACGGAAAUAAUAAUAAGAAUAAUAAUGGUACUAAUAAUAAUUUAUUUUAAUAGUUAUUUUUAUUAUUUAUUUAUUUAAGAGUUUAAUUAGGAUAAAUUUUUUUUAUUAAAUAAAUAUUUAGAAUUUAUAUUUGAAACAUUCAAUUAAGAGUGAAACCCUUUUCUGGCAUAUGUCAAUUAAGGGGAUAGGGGAUUUUUAUUUUUUACAAUUUGGUUGUUUAGGUUGGGAGUUCUCCACCCCUUUUUUUUAUUUUCAAUAAAAGUUUCCUUUUCUUAUUUUUAUUGUUAUUUUUUCUUAUGCAUAGCUACAUUUCAAUUCUAAUUUUAGGCCAAAAAUUAUUUCAAUGUUAGAAUUAUUAAAUUUGAAAUCAUAAUUACACUCUUUACUUUGGUUUUCGUUAACUCUGCAAUUUAAGAGGUAGAUUCGAUCAUCUCAUAACGUCAUUUUAGCAUCAAAUCAAGAAGGGGUCCCUUGAUUGAAUGUUGGACGUCAUACUGUUGGUGAAUCAAUAUGAUCUAUACUUAUGAUCAAUAAAAUAAAACGGAAACAACAACAACAACAACAACAACAACAACAACAACAACAGCAACAACAACAACAACAACAGUACUAAUAAUAUUAAAGGUGAGAAUAUGUUGAGACCCUCCGCAUGUCAAAUCCAAACAUUCAAUUAUGACCAUCAAGAAUAACAAUCAGUUCUGUAUCAACCCUAACCCGUCUUUUUUGCUGGAUUUAGAUGAUGGAGCAUUACUGAAUAAAUCAGAAUAAUUAACUUCAAAACAGAUCAAUACUGUCAUUUAAUAUUAAUUACCAAAAACUCAUUACAAACCUAGCAGCAUACACAUUUGGGCCUUAAAUUGAGCCUUUGAGGCCCUAAAAAUAGUUCAGGAACAAUCCAUGACUAAUUUAAAAUAAAUCAAAAAAAUUGGGAAAAAGUUGAAAAUUUUGAAAAUAGGGUCACACGGCCGUGUGGCAUAGCCCAAGCCGUGUGGACAUUCAAAGAUAGGACACACGAUCGUGUCCCAGCCUAUGUGUCCACUCGUGUGUAUAUAAAGUUGGGUUACACGGCCGUCUAACUCUCUGAGUCAGUGUGGUUCAUCUUGCACCUAAAAAUUCAAUGUCACAUGGUUGUGUGGGGUGACCGUGUGUGGCACAUGGCCGUGUGACAGCCCUUGUCCCAGGCCGUGUGCUCCUAAUUUAGCUUUUAAAACAAGUCAUUUCAAAUCCUAUACUUGCACAUCAAGACACACCUUUCCCACACACUUUCAUAUAAUUAAAACACACCCUAACACAUUCAAAACAUACCAAUUCAAGCAUCCUAUAUGUUCUAACCAAUAUGUCGUUCAAAGGCACUACAUUUCAUAUAUAAAAGCCAUUCAUAAAUAAGAUUACAAUACCACAACUCAACCAUACAACAUGGAUACAAAAGAUCACUUCUUUUCAAUUUAUACCAUCACAAUUUACCAAUUUAACUAGGCAUAACCAACAUGAUCAUAUCCAAAAGUGUUUAGUCAUAUACAAACCAAAGACAAAAGGCAUUAUGCAUAUAAAGGUUCAAAUAUUGUGAUCUCAUUGAUUCUUCUGUUUCCCAGGUAACUUCUGGUAAACCAUGACGAUGCCACAAUACUUUUACUAAUGGUACUCGUUUACUCGAUAAUUCUUUAACCUCUUGAGCUAAAAUUCUCACUGGUUCUUCCGAAUAUGUCAUAUUUCAUUGUAGUUCAAUCUCACUCUGAGGAAUCACAUGUGAAGGAUCAGAUUUGUACCGUCUCAACACCGAUACGUGGAAUACAUUUUGAAUAUUCUCAAGUUUAGGGGGCAAAUCUAAUCGAUAAGCUACAGGCCUGAGUCUUUUAACAAUUUCAAAUAGUUUGAUAAAUCUCGGACUCAACUUCCUUUUCUUGCCGAACCAUAAUACUUUCUUCCACGGAGAGACUUUUAAGAAUACCCGAUCACCAACAGAAAAUUCUAUAUCUCUUCUCUUCAAAUAUGCAUAUGAUAUUUAACGACCAGAAGCUACUUUUAAACUAUCUCGGAUAAUCUAAACUUUGUCCUUAGUCUCUUGGGUCUAGUCAACUUCUGUUAGUUUGGAUUCACUCAAUUCAGACCAAUACAACGGUGUCUUAUAUUUCCUUCCGUAAAAAGCUUCAAUCGGUGCCGCUUUUAUACUAGAUUAAUAACUAUUGUUAUAUGCAAAUUUAGCCAACGGUAAAUACCUUUCCCAACUACCUUCAAAAUCGAGUGUACAACAUCUCAAUAUAUCUUUCAGAAUCUGAAUCACUCAUUCUGAUUGCCCGUCAGUCUGAGGAUGGAAUGCUGUGCUGAAAUUUAGCUUAGUGCCCAGAGCUUGUUGUAAUUUACUCUAAAAUCUCAAUGUAAAUCUUGGAUCUCGAUCUGAAAUAAUAGAUGUUGGAAUCCCGUGUAACCUCACAACUUCUGAUAUAUACAAUUCCACUAAUUUCUCAAGUGAAAAGUUUGUUCUGACUGGAAUAAAAUGUGCCGAUUUAGUCAAUCUGUCAACAAUCACCUAGAUCAAAUCUUUCUUUCUCAAGAUUAUAGGAAAACCAGAUACACAAUCCAUCAUGACAUGCUCCCACUUCCAUUCAGUUAUCAUGACAGGUUGUAAUAAACCCGUUGGUACUUGAUGUUCUGCUUUCACUUGUUGACAAAUCAAACACUUUGCUACCAAUUUACAAAUUUCUUGUUUCAUUCCCGACCACUAAUACAUCCGUUUCAAAUCACAAUACAUCUUUGUACUACCUAGAUGAAUGGAGUACAUGCUGUUGUGAGCUUCAGUAAGAAUAUCAUUUUUCAAAUCCAAAUUAUUCGGGACACAAAUUUUAUUGCGAUAACAACAUACCAUCAUCAUCAAUGCUAUACUCUGAACUAAGAUUAUCCUGAACCAUUUGUGUAACACCCCAAAACCCGGCUUAGACGUUAUGGUUGGAUUUGGCGUGUCACAUUGAAGUGUCUUAUGAAAAUUGGACUCGUUGGAAAAAAUUAUUUCUAAGUUUAAAAUAAACCCCUUUAUUGUUAAUUAACAAGUCAACUAGUCAAAAUGUUUAUCUUGUUAUCCGAUAUUGUUUUAAUAAGUUGGUCUAAAAUCGCGGAAGCUUUUUAAAUCCUAUUGUCUAAAACUCGUGUCUUUGAAAACAUUAAUUAUUUUAAAAAUUUAUCUUCUCCUAAACUAACAGUUAAAAAUAAGUAAGCAAAAGCUCAAUUAAAAAUUUAAACUAACUUAAAGGCCUUAUUACAAAAACAAAACCCAACAUAUAAAUUAAAUUAAAAUAAAAGCAAGUGUAAACAACAGCAGUUGUGUGGCCACCUCCAAGUCCCUCGCAGCAUCGAAUCACCUAUGGCUAAGGAUUACCUGCACAGUUAAAAGGAGAGGGUGAGUUUAUGAAACUCAGUGUUUAAUCUCCUGCCAAAAGGCAGCAUACAACAUGCAGUAACAGUCUAGACCCGAGCUUUAUUCAGUAACAGUACAGUGUGGGCCUUAGUCCGAUACAGUAACAGUGUGGGCCUUAGCCCAAUACAGUAAUAGUGCAAUAAUGCAACCCAUCCCAAUCCAGCCAACACACCACUCGUACCACCAACACACCAUGUGGGGAUAAAAUCAACCCACCCAACCAAUACACCAAUAUUGCAGCAAAGCUGCCAGUAAUAGUAUCGCAGCGAAGCUGCCAGUAACAGUAUAUGUGGCAAGGCCACUAGUAUAUUAUACUUCCCCCAUAUCUUUAUCCUAACCCCAUGCAGUAUGUCAUGUCAUAAAUCAUACGUGUAUGCAGAACGUCAUACUCAGUAACAGUCAUAUAUAUAUCAUAGACGAAAUCAGCCAUACAUAACAUAAGGCCAUAAUGGUCAUUUCAUCUCCUAGAGGUAUAACAAUCAUUUUACCCUAUGGGGGUAUUUCGAUCAUUUUACCCUACGAGGGUAUUUCGAUCAUUUUACCCUAUGGGGGGUAUUUCAAUCAUUUAACCUUAUAGGGGUCAUUUUACCCUGUAGAGGAAUUUUGGUCAUUUUACCCUGUAGGGGUAUUUUGGUCAUUUAUUAACCUCUCGAAAGGUCUGCAGUCGCCUCGAGCGACUCAGGUAACCUAAAUAGUCAUAAUAGUGUAAAUAGGCCCAAGUGGGCCUACAUGCCUGUGCAGCCCAUUCAGCCCAGAUUUCGCCACAAUUAUGUGAUCUACCUAGCCCAUACCAGUAUUUGCAACACAUCGUGGCCCAUUACGGUCUAAGCCCAUGAAAAUGACCCCCACGUCUUUGAAACCUACACUUAACCAAAAAUUUCCAAUUAAUCACUUACGCAGUUAAACAAUCGAAUAAACAUAAGUUAUCACAAUCCUUACUUACCAGUAACUUUGAUCGAGUGAAGAGGGAAGUUAGCCUAUCCAAAAGUAAUCACAACCCUUCAACCUUUUGAAAUUCCUAGGCACCAACCGAAACUGGGUAAGCACUUAAUCAACAGGUAAUAAGGUAACACUAAACUAUUACCCUUACCAAUAUUGCGAGAAAAUGAAUCAAACUAUGAAAUGGGAGACACACGGUAGGCCUCCAAAAGAAAGGAAAGAUUCGAUCACUAGAAAAUAAAAGGGAAAAAUAAAAGAAGGGAAAAGCUAGAAAAGCAAAUAGGCAAUAGUGAAGCAAGACAAGGAAUGAUAGAGAAGAUAGAUUCAAAAGGAUAGAAGGCGAGAAAGGUGUAUUUGACAAUCAAAGAGGAGAGGGGAAAAAAAGAAAGUGUAUUCGGCCAAUGGUAGAAUUAGUUGAGAAAAAAAAAGAGAAGAGGCAAUUUGCAAGAGACAGAGUUCGGCUAAAGAUUGGUUAUCGAAAAGAAAACGAAAGAGGUGAAACAGAACCCUUACCACUUUCGGCCUUUUAAGGAACAGAAGGAAGAGCAAAUCCGAAGCAAAACUGAAAAUGUGCAGUAUACCCUUCUGGUCAAAUUUCUUGAGGGCCAAAGUCGCAAAAUCGGCACAACACUCACUCUCAAACAACUCUUUGAUUUUAUCUUCGUAUCUCUCCCCUUAUCCCUCAUUGAAUCACUCCAACGAUUUCUCCUCAACUCUCCCAACCACUCCAUUCAAAUUCCAUUCAAACUCCCCUUUAGCUGUGUAUCAGUCCAACACCACCACCUACACAGCUCAAGCAGCAAAAUAAAUAGUCCAUUCUGCAACCCUUGAACCUAAGACCUCACAGUUACACAACACGCCACCUUGCCACUUGAGCACAAGCUCUUUUUAUGUUAUAAAACAAAAACUAUUAUAUAUAAGGCCUAUAUGCCAGUGUCCAUGUUCAUUUAAGAGCAAAACUAAAAAUUCUGCAGAAGCCAAGAUUUGAACCCAGGCCUCUCAAACACUCUCAUACACACCCAAAUCACUUAGCCAUCAAGGCAAACAAGAAAUCAGUAGCAGAUCAUGCAAAAUUUAAAGACUCAGAUUUUUGAGGUGUUACAACUUGUUAUUUCAACACUAAUUUCGAAUCAUCAUCUUGCAAUUCCCGAAUUCAUUGAAGAAAUAGAGGUUUCGUUCUCAACUCUGCUAAUACGGAACCAUUUUCAUUAAGAGAUAAAUGAGCGUUCAACGCUCGGAGUGUAAAUAAUGACGACUUUCGACUAAGUGCAUCCGCAACCACAUUAGCUUUUUUCGGAUGGUAGUCAAUAACAAGAUCAUAAUGUUUCAGUAACACUAGCCGCCGUUUCUGUCUCAAAUUCAAUUCUUUCUAAGUCAUCAAAUACUUGAAACUUUUGUGAUUUGUAAACACGUAACAUUUCUCGCCGUAUAAAUAAUGUCUCUAAAUCUUCAAAGCCAAUACAAUUGCAGCCAACUCAAGAUCAUGUGUAGGAUAAUUCUUCUUGUGCUGCUUUAAUUGUCGAGAAGCAUAGGCCACUACCUUUCCUGACUGCAUUAGUAAACAACCCAAACAAUUUAGAGACGUAUCACUAUAAACAACAUAAGGUACACCAGAUUCUGGCUGAGUCAAAACUAGAGCUUCCGUUAACAUCUUCUUCAGCUGAUCAAAACUCUGCUGACAAUCAUCAAACCAAACAAAUUCAACAUUUUUGUGUAAUAAUCGGGUCAACAACGAAGCAAUCAUCGAAAAGUUUUUGACAAAACAUCGGUAGUAACCUGUUAGACCCAGAAAACUUAGCACUUCUGAAACAUUUUUCAGAGUUUUCCAAUUGACCACAAAAAUCAUACAUCGUGAAGCCAUAAUUCACAUUUGCUAAACUAUGUGUAAAAUUGUUUUUCUCUCAAAGUCUGUAUAAAAUAUGGCAUGUAUAGCUAGACUCACACAUGCUACGUUAGUCCUAGAAUCGACUAAACCGUAGCUCUGAUACCAAUAUAAUGUAACACCCCUAACUCGUAUCUGUCGCUAGAAAGGGGUUAUGAGGCAUUACCAAACAAAUCACAAACUUCCGAACAAUUAUACAUGUACAUAUGUUCGAUUUUCUUGAACAAAUCAAACUUUAAAUAAUACAAUUAAAUAAUCACUUACAAUUUUUUUUAUAUAACAUAUAACUAAUAUAUAAGUAGUCACUUAAAUCAUAAGAACCAAAAUCAAAUAUAUGCCAUAAACAUGUGCGCACAACUAAGAUAAUAAAAUUAUUCCAUUCUAUUAAUCCAUGCAUGAAUCAUAUAAAUCUAAUAAUUCAAUGCACCUAUCAUUUGACCAUACCAUAUUCGACAUAUUUAGCUUGUUCAACUUAUGAUCACAUUGAUUUGUGAACCUAAAGGACUAACCAAUUUAGCAUACAAAAUAUGCGUACCUUACCUUUUUGUCAAACAUCCAUUCGGUUAACAAAAAUUAAACCAAGGGAUUUAUUUAAAAAGAAAAUCAAUUAACCCAAAAUUUAUCUAAUUUGCAUAUAACUCUUUUAUUUUUCUUAUUGCAUGAAUUACUAUAUUUCUUAAAAGUAUAACAUUAUGUGCAUAAGCCAACUUUGCAUGCAAACAAUUAAGCAUAUUUGAACCAAAACACUAUUCAUUUGGUGCUUUACCAAAUUCUUAGCCAAACAUAAACAUGCAUAUAAUUCUGUAUAAAGCCAAUUCAUAUAUUAUGCAAAAAUUUCAUAUUAUAUUAACAACAUCAAAACAAAACAAUCGAGCAAAUAAAUUAUCAACCAUUUGGCUACAAUAAAAUUUUCCAACCGAAUUAAACAUGCUAAUCUCUCAUAAUUUGCAAUGUAUCAAAUGUCAUAUUAAGACUAAUCCCAAAAUUUUUUAUUCGGCUAAGCACAAACAAUUUUAAUAAAUUUAAAUGAAAUAUGUUUCAUCUAAUAAUGCAAAGCUUAAUUGAACCAUCAAAAUAAUCAUAGAACAUUUUCUUACUCAUAAAAUAAAUUAUAUUAAACUAAACAUAAUCACUUAUUAUUUAAACAUAACAUAUAUAUAUACAAACUUUCCAUCACAACCUAAAACCAAAUAGUCAAAUCACAGAUGAAUUAAAUAUCCUUACAUGUUUAUAAUAAGAACUUCAAUACCAAAAUUUAUAAAUAAUUCUUAGCAAAAUAUACCAACAAAACUCACAUAUAUAAAUACAAAACAUAACAAAAUAUUAACUAUUCACUACUCACAUCCAACCUUUAAUCGAGACACACCAUUAAUCAAUUUAACAUAUUUCUAGACAUAAUAUAUAUAUAUAUAUAUAUAUAUAUAUAUACACCAAAACCUAAUCAACCAACCACAACCAUACAAAAUUAUCAAGCAAAGGCAUAAAUUUCAAGAUUUACAAAAUGAGCAAGCCAUUUUCGCAUAGCCUAUUAUAUACACAUCCAAAAUUAAACCAAAAUACAUAUUAGCCUAUACAUGCCAUAAGUUUGAAAUAAAACUUUUAAAAGUACCGAAAGUAAACGACAGUGUGAAUGACUUCACUGACGAUCCUUGAACACGUAACGACCUCCAAAAUCUAUAAAACAGUGACAAAUAAAUAUACAAAAUAAGCUAACUUAGCUUAGUAAUCCUUAAGCAAAUAUAUAUAUAUAUAACAUAGAAUUUCAUAAGCAAUUUAUCAAGGCCAAAUAUACACAUAUAUAAACAUUACUAAUACAUUCACAUAUCUCAAAUCAUUUUGUCAUGGCUAAUCGUUUAUACACAAGCUUCCAAUCAUAUACUUAUAAUUAACAUAAGGCUGAACAUACUUUUCAUAUACACACAUAUACUUAUAAUAGCGUUAUGUAUCAUUUUUAUUAUAUAUCAAACAAACUUACCUAAUUAUCAAAUAGGUAAUUAAACAUCACAUACCUGAUCAUUUUAACUCAUGAAUCACAUUCGAUACCACAUUGGCAUAAAGCCUACUAGGUAUAAAGCUUAUUAAAAUACACUGGCAUAAAGCGUACUAGGCACAAAGCCACAUAUGAUAUACCGGCACGAAGCCUGCUAGGCAUAAAGCCUGAUAUGGUACACCGGCAUGAAGCCUGCUAGGCAUAAAGCCAUAUAUAAUUCACUGGCAUAAAGCCUGUUAGGCACAGAGCCCAAAUAUCACUGAUACAAAGUCGGUCUUACACAUAAUUCAUAUAUAGGAAAUCCUAAUUAUUCUUUAAGGUUCAUACUAAGCUUUUCAAACAUCGUAUCUUAGUUAAAUCGAACUAGUACCCAAAUCUCACAAGCAUUUAUACAUUCGACUAUUAAUAUGAAAAUUCAUACAAUUAAAUUCAACAUAUAAAAUUCAUAUACACUCAAUUUAAUGACGUUUAUUUGCUUAUAGACUUACCUUGGAUGAUGAAAAUCAGAACAUGAUGAUUAAUCAACGACUUUGGUUUUUCCAUAAUCCAACCCCGAUUUCUUUGGUUCUUGAUCUAAAUGUAUUCAAAAUAAACUAAUUUAAAUAUAGUUUCAUUCAAUUUAGUCCAAAAACACAUAAAUGGGCAAAUUACCAUUUUGCCCCUGACAUUUACACUUUAUACAUUUUAGUCCAGAUUUCACCAAACAUAAAAUACGCAAAAUCUCACAACAACAUAGUUAGGCCGAAUCUUCCUUGUAUACAUAAAAGUCCAUGCAUUUCAUUUAUUUCUCAUUUUAGUCCCUCAAUUUAUUAUUUUUGCAAUUUAGCCUUAAUUACUCAAAAUCAUCAAAAAUUUCAAUACAAAACAUAUAUAUAUAUCCAAAACAUAUAUUUCAUAAUUCAUCAUCAAACAUCACAAAACACAAUUAUUCAUCAAUGGCAUAACUCAAAAUAUUCAUCAAAAUAAAAAAUUCUAGCAUGGGUCGAAUAGUACUCGAAGCAACGAUCUCAAAAACAUAAAAGUUAUAAAAAACCGAGCUAGAAACCGAGCUAGAACUCACCUUGAAUCAAGCUCAACAAUGCCAAAACCUAAACAAAACAUGGAUGGUUUCUUUCUUUUCUACAUUCGGCCAACAAAGAUGAAAAUGACCAUCUUUUAUGUUUUAUUUUAUUAUUACUUAAUUUAUUAACUAAGUUACAAAAUUAACCUUUAGUGAUAAAUAUUUAUAACAUAUAAUAUAAGGCUAAUUUUGACCAUUGCCACCCACUACCAUUAAAAUGGUCUAAUUUCCACAUAAAAACUCCAUUUUAUAAAGACAACAACAAUUAAGCACUUUCAUAUUUAACCCUCAAAUUUUUACUUUAUGCGAUUAAACUAUUUUCUGAAAUUAAGCACACAAACAAUAAAAUUAUUUCACGAAACUUUCACACAUAUUUAACACAAAAAAUAAUAUUAAAAUAUUUUUUGGACUCGGAUUUGUGGUCCCAAAACUACUAUUCUGAUUAGGGUCAAAAUCAAGUUUUUACAACUCUCGCCCCUUAGGGAUUGUCGUCCUCGAAAAUCUUACCGGUAAAUAAAUUCGGGUAACGCUUUUUCAUUGCAUCCUCUGGCUCCCAAGUUGCUUCCUCAACUCCAUGUUUAUGCCACAGUACUUUAACUAACAAAAUUUCCUUAUUUCGUAAUUCUUUAACCUCACGAGCCAGAAUACGAAUCGGUUCUUCUUUAUAUAACAUAUCAGACUUAAUCUUAAUCUCUGUCAGACUAAUCACAUGUGAAGGAUCUGAUCAAAAUCUACGGAGCAUCGAAACAUGGAAUACAUUGUGAAUCUUUUCUAGCUCAGGUGGCAACAACAAUCUAUAAGCUACCGACCCGAUACGCUCUAUAAUCUCAUAUGGUCCAAUGAAUCUCAAACUUAAUUUGCCUUUACGACCAAAUCUGAGUAUUUUCUUCCACGAUGAUACUUUUAAAAAGACUUUAUCUCCGAUCUGAAACUUUAUAUCCUUUCUUUUCAAGUCUGCACAUGAUUUCUGACAAUCCGAUGCUGCUUUUAGACUAUCGCGUAUCACUUUCACUUUCUGUUUAGUCUCUUUAAUCAAAUCGACCCCGUAUAUAUUUUUUUUGCUGAGUUCAGUCUAAUACAAAGGUGUACGACAUUUAUAACCGUACAAAGCCUCAUAAGGUGCCAUUUUGAUAGUCAAUUGAAAACUAUUAUUGUACGCAAAUUCAAUCAGAGGCAAGUAUCGAUCCCACGUACCUUUGAACUCGUGAAUGCAACAUCUUAACAUAUCCUCAAGCAUCUGAAGGAUUCGUUCAGACUGACCAUCUGUUUGGGGAUGAAAAGCAGUGGUAAAACACAGUUUAGUACCUAGUGCAUCUUGCAGUUUCUUCCAAAACCGCGAUGUAAACCUCGAAUCUCUAUCCGAAACAAUAGAAAUAGGUACCCCGUAAAAUCUCACAAUCUGAGAAAUAUAUAAGUCAACAAGUUUAUCAAGUGAAUAAUCAGUACGGACAAGAACAAAGUAAGCUAAUUUUGUCAAUCUAUCAACAAUAACCUAGUUUGUAUCUUUCUUUCUCAGUGUCAAUGGUAAACCAGAUACAAAAUCCAUUGUGACUUGGUCCUAUUUCCAUUCAGGUAUCAUGUUCGGCUGAAGCAAUCCAGAAGGUACCUGAUGCUCGGCUUUUACUUGCUAACAUAUUAAACAUUUUGAAACAAAGUCAGAAAUGUCUCGUUUCAUACCGUACCACAAAUAGUGUUGUUUCAGAUCGUUAUACAUUUUCAUGCUACCCAGAUGAAUAGAUAAUCGACUAUUAUGAGCUUCAUUCAAUAUCAUCUGAAUGAACUCUAAAUUUUUUGGAACACAUAAUCGGUUUCUGAAUCGCAAACAAUCUUCAGCAUCAACUAGAAACUCUGAAUCAACAUUCAAGUCACACUGAGCCCAUUUUAUAAUUAAAUCAUCAUCGGCUUUCUGAGCGUCACAAAUCUGUUGAACAAAUAACAAUUUUGCUUUUAACUCAGCUAUUAUCGUACCAUCAUCACACAUAGCCAUAUGAGCAUUCAUUGCUUGCAAAGGAAACAAUGAUUUUCGACUUAAAGCAUCAGCAACAAUAGUAGCCUUUCCCGAAUGAUAGUCAAUUACAAGCUCGUAAUUUUUUAACAACUCUAACUACCGUCGCUGUGUCAAAUUCAGAUCCUUCUGAGUCAUCAAAUAUUUUAGGCUUUUGUGAUCAGAAUAAACAUGACAUUUUUCACUGAAUAAAUAGUGGUGCCAUAUUUUCAAAGCAAAUACAAUAGUGACCAAUUCGAGAUCAUGCGCCGGAUAGUUCUUUUCAUGUGGCUUUAACUGUCUCGAGGCAUAUGCUACAAAUUUGCCUUUCUACAUCAAAACACAGCCCAAAUCGUUCAAAGAUGCAUCGCUAAAAAUAACAAAUUCUUUACCCGUCUCUAGCUGAACUAGUACUAGAGCUUCGAUCAAAAGGGCUUUCAACUGAUCAAAGUUUUUCUGACACUUUUCUGACCACUCAAACUUAACAUCUUUCUGUAACAACUUCGUCAUCAAGGUUGCAAUCAUAGAAAAACCUUUCAUGAACAGUCUAUAGUGACCUGCGAGUCCCAGAAAACUUCGAACUUCAGAGACAUUUCUUGGAGGUUUCUAAUCAAGUAUAGCUGAAAUUUUACUCGGAUCAAGCCGAAUACCUGAUGCUGAUAAACAUGGCCCAGAAAAUUGACUUCACGUAACCAGAACUCACAUUUACUGAACUUUUCAUACAAUUGUUUAUCUCGCAAAGUUUGUAAAGUCUCAGAUGUUCGGCAUGCUCGGUUUCAUCACGAGAGUAGAUCAAAAUGUCAUCUAUGAAUACUACCACAAAUUGAUCCAGAUACUGUCUAAAUAUCCGAUUUAUCAAAUCCAUGAAAACAGCAGGUGCAUUCGUAAGUCCGAAAGGCAUAACCAAGAACUCGUAAUGCUUGUACCUCAUUCGGAAAGCUGUCUUUGGCACAUCAGAGUCUUUAACUCGCAACUGAUAGUAGCCCGAUCUCAAAUCUAUCUUCAAAAAUACUAAAGCCCCUUUUAGCUGAUCGAACAAGUCGUCAAUGCGUGGCAAUGGAUAUUUAUUCUUUAUAGUCACCUUAUUGAGCUGCCGGUAAUCAAUGCACAGUCUCAUCGUUCCAUCUUUCUUUCUCACAAAUAGAACUGGAACACCCUAGGGAGAGAAACUCGGUCGUGCGAAACUUCUAUUUGUCAACUCUUGCAACUGUGCUUUCAAAUCUUUUAAUUCAAUCGGUGCCAUACGUAUGGAGCUAUCGAAAUCGAAGUCGUCCCUGGUACUAACUCAAUACCAAACUCUACCUCUCGAAUAGGUGUCAAACCCGGUAAUUCUUUGGGAAACACAUCUGAAUACUCACGCACAACUAGUAUGGAUUCAAUCUUCUUUUUGGUCACUUUACUAUCAAGAACAUAUGCAAAGUAAGCUUCAUAAACUUUUCUCACAUACUUCUGAGCCAACAUCGAGGAUAUCACUGCUGGUAAACCAUUCAGAUCAUUAGAUUCAAUCCGAAUAAUCUCAUCAUUCAGGCACAUUAAAUCAAUAGUCUUUCUUUAGCAGUUAACCAUAGCAUAGUGUAAAGUCAACCAGUCCAUACACAGAAUUAUAUCGAACUCGUCAAAUGACAAAAACAUCAAAUCAGUGAAAAACACGAAUCUCGAAUCAUCAACAGAUAAUUCUUACACACUUUGUCAACCAAAACACACCGGCCCUGGGGGUUUGAUACUCUAAUCACAAACUCAGUACACUCAAUAGGCAAAGUAUUAUUGGAUACUAAAGUCUCACACACACAUAUAGCAUAUGUAUCAUAGAGAGUGAAAGUACCAAUAAUGACAUUUGGGGAAGAAGCCUCCUCGCGAGCGCGUAUAGCAUAUGUUCUGGCAGGUGCACUAGCUUCAGAUCGAAUUGCCGUAGCUUUCGUCCCUCUUUGACUGCCACUUACAUUACCCGUAUGCCAGGAUAAUCUACCUCCCAUUGACAUAUUACUCGGUCUCGUGCUCUGAACGGUGUUUUUCUUGGCUAACAUCGGACACUCUCGGCAAAAAUGAUUCAUCGAUCCACACUUGAAACAAGACCGAUCAUACAAUCUGCAAUCUCCAGGAUGCCAUUUACCACAAUGCUUGCACUUAGAUCUAUUCUGCCGAAUGUUGCUAACACUAACAAUCGAAGUGGCUCGUGAACUCACAAGAGGUCGAUCUCGAUCUCGUCUAGAAAAGCCCACAAUGGCUUUAGAUCAGCUAUAAUCCUCCCUGAACUUCUUCGAUGCUGAGUGAAAAGUCUUACCUGAUGAUCUUUUACAAGAAUCUCUAGCUUUAAAAUUAGAUUUUCUUUUCUCUUUCCUGAUCUCUUCGACAUUACAAGGUCACUCGACUAGUACCACGAACUCUUUGAUUUCAAGUAUGCCAACAAGAAAUUUAAUAUCUUCAUUCAGCCCGUCUUCGAAUCGUUUACACAUUGUAGCUUCAAUCGAAACACACUCUCGGACAUAUCUGUGCCUUUAAUUCCUUUAAUUCAGCUGGUGCCAUAUGAUAUGGUGUUACUGAUAUCGGAGUAGUUCUAGAAAUCUCAUCAAUUGCAAAAUCAACUUCAUGAUCAUGUGGUAAACCCAGCAAUUCUUCACGAAAUAUAUCAGCAAACUCACUAACAGCUAGUAACUGAUCUAGCUUUGUUUUAGUGCCCCCAAUCAUCAUUCGAAUUUCAUUAUUCAACCCUUCUUCAAACUGAAUGCACAAUUCUUAUUCGAUUGGUACAAUUUCUCGAGCAUAUUUAUUGAGGUAUACAAUUCCCUGUCAUACUUGACUAUUGAUCUGUUUUCUUGAUGCAGCUCAAGAAAUUCUCUAUUUUUUCUUGUCUAGAUACCUUUUACCGACAUAUUUCUUUUUAAAUUCACUCUAGAAGAAUUCCAAAGAAAUUUUCUCUUUUAGUACUAGAGCCACUAUUGUCGACCACCAAUUAUAUGCUUCCUCUUUCAGUAAUGAAACAACACAUCUCAGAUAAUCAUUAGGGUACCAAGCCAUUUCUUUAAAAACUCUUAUUAUGUUUUGAAGCUAAUAUUCAGCUUUGACUGGAUCAUAUCCUGCUCUACCCCGAAAUUCUUUAGCUCCACAUUUUCUGAGUUUUUCAAUUAGAGUACGUUUACUAGAUUCAGUCACUAGAGGAGGUGGAGGUGCAACCGAUGACACUACAAGUGGUACAGUAGGGGAAGAAGGUUGUUGAGCUGGAUUUCUUCCCUACAUGAACACCCUAAACCAUUGGUUCAUAUAUCCAAAGAACAUGUUUUUAUGUUGUUGUUCUUGAGCCUGAAGGAUCGGGACAUUCUACUCGUCCGAUGUUCAGAAGUCGGUGCUCUACUGUUGACCUCAUCAUGGGCAGCAUGUUCAGAUCCAUCUGACAUCUUAACAAUCUAAGAAGAAAACAAAGGUUAAAUCGGAUCAUACACAUCACACUAUCACAGAUUUAUAUGGCAUGUAUUUCUAAACAUUUUACACAAUACGUUCAUUUCUAAUAAUCGACUAAACUGAAGCUCUGAUACUACUAAAUGUAACACCCAUAACCCUUAUCUAUCACCGUAAAAGGUUACAAAACAUUACCAGACUUUUUUCGAUCAAAUUCAAACAUUACAUGUCAUUUACCAUACAGAUCAGUUUUUAAUUAUAAUUACUCAUAUGGUCCAUUAUAUGAGCCCUCGAGGCACAAAAUACACGUUAGAAAUGCGUCAGAACUAAACCAGACACUCAGAGAAUUUUUUGGAAAAUUUCAAAAGUUUCUUAGAUGUAGGGGACACACGCUCAUGUGGCUAGGCCGUGUGGCUCACUAAAUUUAUUAGAUUUUGGGAUUAUGUCGUUUUAAUAGUUAUUUUUUAUUUGUAUUUAUUUGUAAAGAUAUUUAUUUAAAAAUUUAAUUAGUAUUAGUUUUUUUAUUAUUACAUAAAAACUUAUGAUUUGUAACCUCUCCGACUCAGCCUAGACGUUAGAACCGAUUCGGGAAGAUCACAUUAGCCAUCGAGGUGGCUCGGUGUUGAAAACAAAUAAUUUUCAUUUUAAAACCUGUUUUAUGCUAGUGAAUAUCUCUCUUUUUUUUUUCAAUUUAAUAUAUCAUCAUUAUAGCAGUAGAGUUUAAACAAUAAUUUGUAAAUCUCUUUUUAAAAAAAUAAAAUAAAAUCAACCUAUUUUUAUCACAUAAUAAUAAGUACCUUCUUACAUCCUUAACUGUAUCGAAUAAAUAUCUACUUAAAUAUUCCUUUUUCAUUAUGAAUAAUGUCAUGCAACCUAAACGUUUGAAUUAGAAAUCUUAUCCAAUACCACGGUUCUUAAUAAAAUAAAACGGAAACAACAAUAAUAAUGGUACUAAUAAUAUUUUGUUUAAUUAGGAUUAAUUUUUUUAUUAAAUAAAUAUUUAGGAUUUAUAUUUAAAGCAUUCAGUUAAAAGUGAAACCCUUUUUAUGGGAGAGGGGAUUUUUAUUUUUUACAUUUUGGUUGCUUAGGUUGGGAAUUCUCCACCCUUGGUUUAUUUAUUUAUUUAAUUUCAAUAAAACUUUUCUUUUCUUAUUUUUAUUGUUAUUUUUUAUUAUGCAUAACUAAAUUUCAAUUCUAAUUUUAGGCCAAAAAUUAUUUCAGUGUUAGAACUAUUAAAUUUGAAAUCAUAAUUAGACUCUUCACUUUGGUUUUAGUUAACUCUCCAGUUUAUGAGGUAGAUUCAGCCAUCUCAUAACGUCAUUUUAGCCUCAAAUCAAGAAGGGUGCUGCUUGAUUCAAUGUUGGACGUCAUACUGUUAGUGAAACAAUAUGAUCUAUAAUUUUCGUAUUCAUCUUACUAAAUAACAAAUUGGCAUGAAAAAUUGUGUGAGUAGUUGAAUUCGUCAAGAGAAUUAAUAAACAAGUUUAAACAACCGGCACAGUUGAGGCCGUUGAUUUGAGUUGGAUACUUCUAACUCAUUAGGCUGUUGAGGAAUUAAAUUGUGGAAGUUGCUUUCAAGGGUAUUCACUUGAUAAGGGUAAAUGUCAGAUUGUUCCCACAAUUAAUUUACAUACAGAAGAGCUUGUGGUAUAAGACUAUUCCUCGAUCACUAUAAACAACUUAUUAAUUAGAGGAGAAAAUUCAUCGUCUAAGAUCAAUUCAUAUCUAGAAUCAAAAUUGUGCCUGAAGCUAGAGCUUUUGUAACAACCCGUUUUUAGUGAAAUCAGAAUAGUGGUUUUGAGACCUCAAACCCAACGAGUAAAUUAUUAUUUUAAUGUCUACGGUAUGUUAGUAAGGUCUUAUAAAAAUCUCGUUAAAAAAUUUGGACAUUUGCAUGCUUAAUUAAGUGAAGAGGACUAAAUCGUAAAAUGUGAAAAAGUAGAGUCUAUAAGUUAAAGGUGUCAAAUUGCUAUGAAUUUUUAAAUUAGUGGACUUAAAUUGUAGUUAGACCAUUAUUAUUAGUAGUGGACAAAGAUGGGUGUAACACCCCAAAAUUUCUAAUUUCGUUAUUGUAAAAAUAUGAUACAAAUAUAUGUUAGCUUUAGUGGUUAUGUGUUUUGGGAGUGUUCGGGAGGUCCCAAGUUUAACCCUUUGCUUGGUCAAAUUUUGGUAUUUUGAAUUAAUUAGGCCUUACUCUUGUUUAGUAUGCUUUUAUUUGAUUGUUAGGCAAAUUAUAUUAGAAUGAGUCUGUUGGUUUGAUGGUUAAAUGGUGUGUUAUUAUGGUGGAGGUCUUGUGUUCGAAUCCUUAUGUAGGCAAGGGUUUUUUUUUGCUUAGAUUUUGGGAUAGGGUUGUGCAAUAAGGGGAUUCUGAGUAGAGGGAAUUAAGGGAAAAUAUUAAGGGAUUUUAGGGGUUAUCAGGAUUUUAUUUUCUUUUUUUUCCAUAACCGAAUUUUGACUCUCUUUUCCAAAAAGAAAUCCUGCCAUCUAUUCUUCUUCCUCUCCUCUUGCCGAAAUUCUUUGAGUUUUUCCAUCUUUCUCUUCUUCUUGAAUUUUCCUUAAUCCAUUUAUUUUCCUUCGUUUUCGCACGCGGUUAGUGCUUGCUUAGUUUUGGUAAGUGUUUCUCUUCGUUUCUAUCAUUAAUCUCUUAACGAAUGAAGUGGUAAUAUUUUUCUUUGCGAUUUGGGCGUAGGGAGAGGCUCGGACUGGUGAAUUCAGUGUUCUCGUCUUAACAAUAGUUAAACAGAGGGUUAUCGUUGGUUGUAAGUUGGGUUUCGGUCCGUUCUUGGUUGUCAAUUCACUUGUAAAUCCGUUAAAUUGAUGUUGAGUGUCUUGACUAUAGGCUUUGGAGUGCUCGGGGACUGUUUUAGCAUCAAAUAAAGCGAGGUGUGUACCUAAGACGCAAAAAAGGGAUUCGGUGAGAAGUCGAAACUACUUGCUGUCUAGGCUAUCUUUGAAAAAUCGCCAUAAAUUGUGGAAAUCGAAUUAGAGGAUGAAAAAAAUACAGAAUUAAAUCUUAUUGAGUCUAGUUUCUUAUAGAGGAAACGGUGUAAGUAAUGUAAUUGUAAAUCGUGAGGUAUGAUAAACUUUGUGAGGCAAGGUCAGAUUGAAUUUGGGUUCCUCUGUUCUGACAUUGGAAAAUCAUCAAAAAUUGGAGAAAAAUAAUUAGGGGUUAAAAUUUACAUGUUUAAAUUAUUAAUGAGUUUAUUUUCAAUAGAAACAAAUGAAAACAUCAUCCACAUUUUUUACUAAGAGAUAAUUAGUUUUUAGCAAAGAAGGGACGAAGUUGUCAAACAGUAGGGCAGGGGUAUGUUUGAAGAUUUUACUGUACUUAUUGGCUGAACUAAAAAUUCUAAAAAUUUUAUGGUAAAAAGAUAUUUAAGUCUAGUUUCAAAGACAUUAAGUGGAUCUUAAUUCGAAAUUCUGUAGCUCAAGAUAUAAAUAAUUUAGUAACAGUGACUCAAGUAGCCAACUUUGAAGGAACAUAUAAAUAAAUAGUGAAAACAUAUAUGAAUAAUUAACUAGCACGGGUUUCAUUAAAAAUCAAUCACGUGGCCAAGGCCAAUUUGGGUUGAGUAGGCCACAUGGGCAUGGAAGCCUAUUUUUUUGAAAAGUUCUGUAGGGUUGCACGGGUCGCCCAAGUCGACUGUGGACCUACUGUAGGGUUGGUAAGCUUUACUUAGACCCUUAUAUAUGUGAUCUAUCUGUCUGAUUUCUAUACCGAGCAUGACUUAUGAUAUUUGAAUAAAUGUACUAUUAAUUACUUAAUGGCAUGACAUAUUUUGUACGUUGCCUUGCAUCGGGGUGGGUUGAUGAUAUUUGGAGGAAGGGUUUGAAAGGCUAUUAAGCCUAUUGUAUGGCAGCUUAGCUGCAACCUUCUAAUUAUGUACCGUAUUUUGGUACAGCAUGGUGUGUAGGGAUAGGUGGGUUGAUUUAAUCCCUACAUGGUGUGUAAGGUUGGUCGAAGAUGGUGUGUUGAGGCUGGUGGGUAGGAUUCUGAUUUAUUGUAUUUGCUUUUUGUAUCUGAUAUGGGCCAAGGCCCUAAUGUAUUUCUCAGACUGUAUCUGAAUAGGCUAAGGCCAAAACUAAUUCUGUGAUGGGCAUGGACCCCAUACUAUAUCUAACUGAAUUCUGUUGAUUAUCUGUAUGCAUGUUUUCUGUGGGGAUUACAAACUUAGUUUACGAAAACUAACCCUUUCUCUGUGUAAUCUGCACAAGUAAUCGCCAGACUUAACGGGUCGGUGCAGCGGAGGACUCGACGGUGGCGACAUGUAAAUUUUAGACAAUUAUUCAUUAAUUCCUAGAAUUUAUUACUUAUUUUGGGUUUUUGAUGUAUCUUUUGGACUAUGGGCUGGUUGGUUUUAAAUUUGAGACUUUAUACUAUUUCUUUAUGGAUUUUUUUAAAAAAAAACAACUCCAUAAAACACAAUUUUUUUUCUAAAAACUAAGGUUUUUCGCAAAUAGAAAUGAUUUUCCCUAAAUUAAUUGGUUACAAAAGCUUCCGCUAAGAGAUAAGUUUGAAAGCAAAUCAACUAGUUUCUUUUCGAAUUAAAUAACAACUGACUUACUGUAACAGUUUUUAAAAUCGACAAUUUUGUCUUCAAAUCCCUUUCCAUGUGACAUCGCCAGAUUCAACCAUAACGUCUAGGCUAGGUUUGGGUGUUUUAUUUAGUGGUAUCAGAGCAAAGUUGCAAAACUCGACUAUGCAUUAUGGGUUUUAUAAAAAUUGGGCUUUCAAAAAAUUGAUUGAUUUCCAAAUGAUUUGAAAUAUUUUUACUGAGUAAGUGGUACACCGAGUCUCCGACGCCAAUCCUGUAAGUAUUCUGAAUUGUGAUUUGUUUUAAAUUGAAACUUUUAUGGAUAGUAUAUUCUUAAACUACUAUAGGUAGUAAACAGUAAUGAGACUACAAUUUACGAAAACGAACUUUGAAUAAUCGAGAUUGUUUUACAUAAAACAUUUAUUAAUAAACACUAGAACUGUAAAUGAUUCAUAAAACUUAUAAUACCAGAUAAAUCUGAUUAGAUAUGAGCACACGAGAUAUCCGCAGACGGGGUACUAAAGGCCAAGGUAAAGGCCGUAGAGGGGCUUGAGCUGAGUCAUCGUCAUAGGCCAGCCUGCAAAAUUUGGAUACGAGUGAGACGUCAGUGUCGUCCGCUACUGAGACUUGAUCUCAAGAUCGCAUGGAUGGGACGAUGCAUUGUCCCAUGCUAUGCUAAGGAUUUUGAAGAGGGUCACUGGGCCCAAUACUGGAUUUGGAGUCUGAGGGCCAGUUACGGAACAGCUCUGGUCCAAUGGAGAUGAGCUCUUCAGAGGUGUCACUAUAUUGAGGCCACGGAGAGGAUCAUGGAUGAUCUAGUUUGCACCCCUAAGUAGAAAUGAAAGGGUUCAGUCUCGCUGCUGUAGGACGAGGCUUAUCAGUGGUGGCUGACCGUUAAGGAGGGCACUUAGCCUGAAUGUUUGACCCCAAAGUUCUUUAAGACUGUCUUCUAGGGGAAAUAUGUCAGAGUUAGUUAUGUGGAUGCACGUAGGAGGGAGUUUUUGAAUCUUACAUGGGGGAUCGCCUAGUAGCCGAGCAUGUGGCUGAGUUUUUGAGACUAAGCUGCUAUGCGCGAGGUAUGGUGACAUUUGAGUAUGAGCGAUGUGUUCACUUUGAGGAUGGUCACAGAGAUAAUUUGAGAGUUCUAAUAGCCCCGCAGAGGGAGUGAGAUCUUUCUGCCCUGGUUGAGAAGGCCAAAAUCGCCGAGUAGGAUAUGAAGGUAGUCAUGAUUAGAGAACGUCAGAACUACUUAUCUAAUGUGAUCUCUACACUGGUGGUAGAAAAGUUGGUUUGUAAGGGAUAUGAGCCAUUCUUGGCCUUUGUAAGUGUUUCAAAUUCUAGGGACUCUACAGUUAAGGAUAUCAGAACGAUAAAAGAUGUUACAGACGUCUUUCUUAAGGAGCUACCGGGUUUACCUCCGAAUUGUGAAGUGGAGUUUGGGAUAGAGCUCCUUUUUGGUAUAGCUCCAGUGUCUAUCGACCCCUACCGAAUGGCCAUGAAGGAGCUUACAGAGCUUAAGGCUCAGAUUCAGUAGUUAUUGGAUUGUGGGUUCAUCCGCCCUAGUGUGUCCCCGUGGAGAGCACCGGUACUAUUUGUUAUGAAAAAGGAUGGAUCCAUGAGGAUGUGUAUCGACUACCAACAACUAAAUAAGUUGACUAUUAAGAACAAGUAUCCACUUCCGAGGAUUGAUGAUUUGUUUGACCGGUUCCGAUGGGCGUCUGUGUUCUUCAAAAUUGACUUGCGUUCUGGGUAUCACCAGUUGAGGGUUAAGGAGGCUAAUAUGCAUAAGACGGCAUUUAGGGCUCGUUAUGGUCACUACAAGUUCCUAGUGAUGCAUUUGGACUAACUAAUGCACUGGUAGCUUUCAUGGAUCUAAUGAACCGAGUGUUUCAGCCCUACCUGGAUCGGUUUGUAGUGGUGUUAAUCGAUGACAUAUUAGUUUAUUCAAGGACUGAGGCUGAGCAUGACGAGCACCUUAGGAUUAUUCUUCAGAUUUUGAGGGAAAAGUAGCUUUAUGCUGAGUUUAGCAAAUGCGAGUUUUGGUUACGUGAAGUAACAUUUCUGGGUCAUGUGGUGCUACUGAGGGGAUUCAAGUUGAUUCUCAAAAAAUUGAGGCUGUAUUCGACUGGAAGCAGCCUAAGAAUGUGUCUGAGAUCUGCAGCUUUUUGGGGCUAAUAGGUUAUUACCGACGGUUUGUGGAAGGAUUUUUACUGAUCGCAACACCCUUGACUAAGCUGUUACGUAAAGGUGUACCAUUUGACUGGAUUAAUGUGUAGCAAGAGAGCUUUGAGAAGCUUAAGACUGUACUGACUGAGGCCCAUGUUUUGCUACAGCUUGAACCUGGAAGUGAGUUCACGAUUUAUAGUGAUGCAUCACAUGUCAGUUUGGGAUGUGUGUUGGUGCAGGAUGGUAAGGUGGUUGCAUAUGCGUUCUCGUCAGCUUAAGACAUAGAAGGCAAACUAUCCUAUGCACGAUUUGGAGUUGGCCGUCGUAGUCUUUACAUUGAAAAUCUGGAGGCAUUAUCUGUACGGUGAGAAGUGUAUUAUCUACACUGAUUAUAAGAACCUCAUGUAUCUCUUCACUCAGAAUGAGUUAAAUCUUAGGCUGCGUAGAUGGGUUGAGCUGCUUAAGGAUUAUGAUUGUACUAUUGAGUACCACCCCGACAAGGCAAUAUGGUGGCCGAUGUGUUGAGCCGUAGGUCUAUGCCGAUCUGAGAGAGAUGUUCGCUCGACUUAGCCUAUUCGAUGACGGAAGUCUUUUCGCAGAACUUCAGGUCAAAUCGACAUUGAUUGAAUAGAUUCGAGGUAAACAGUUGGGGGAUAAGUCUCUCAGGUUGCGUUUUCGUCAGGUUAAGAGCUGUGGCACUACAGAUUUUGGGAUUAAUAGUGAUGGGGUACUUUGUUUCUGCGGUCAGAUUUGUGUAUCGAAUGAUGAGGAUUUGAGGCAGUCGAUUCUGAGAGAGGCGCAUGGUAGUCCCUAUACUAUGCAUCCCAGCGGGAAGAAGGUGUACUGAGAUCUUCGAGAAUUAUACUGGUGGCAAGGGUUGAAGUGUGAGGUUACCAACUUCGUUGCUCGCUGUUUAACUUGUCAGUAGGUUAAGGCUGAGUAUCAGUUACCUUAGGGUUUGCUGCAGUCGGUUAAGAUGUCGUUAUGGAAAUGGGAGCGAGUAACGAUGGACUUCGUUAGUGGGUUGCAUCUAACUCCUACUAAGAAGAAUUCUGUCUGGGUCAUCGUGGAUCGUUUGACCAAGUCUGCUCACUUCAUCCCGGUAAGGAUAGACUUUUUUCUUCAGAAAUUAGCUAAGCUCUACAUAUCGAAAAUAGUGAGACUACAUGGGGUACCUAUCUCGAUCAUUUUUGAUUGAGAUCCUAAUUUCACGUCUCGAUUCUGAAAGAAGCUUCAUGAGGCUUUGGGUUCAAGAUUAGACUUCAGUACUGCUUUCCAUCCUCAUACAGAUGGUCAGUCUAAAAGAGUGAUUCAGAUAUUGGAGGACAUGUUGAGGAGCUGUGUUAUUAAUUUCCGAGGCAAUUGGGAGGAGUAGUUGCCAUUAGCAGAGUUUGCCUACAAUAAUAGCUUCUAUUCUAGCAUCUAGAUGGACCAUACGAGGCACUAUACGGUCGUAAGUGUCGCACUCUUUUAUAUUAGACUGAGUUGGGCAAGCGACGUGUUCUAGGUCCUGAGUUGGUCUCUGAGGCAGAGGAUAAGGUUAGAUUGAUUCAGGAUCAUUUGAAAGCGGCUUCUGAUAUGGAGAAAUCAUAUGCGGAUUUGAAGCGGUGUAAGAUCGAGUAUUCUAUGGGGGACAUAGUUUUUUUUUGGGUCUAGCCAUGGAAAAAGGUUCUGAGGUUAAGUUGCAAGGGCAACCUAAGCCCUCAGUUUAUUGGACCUUACCGCAUUCUGAAACGUGUGUGACCUGUCGCUUAUCAGUUGGGGUUACCUUUGCAGUUAGACCGCAUUCAAGAUAUUUUUCAUGUCUCGAUGUUGAGGUGCUACCAGUCUGAUCCCACGCAUGUUGUUUCUGUUGAGGAGAUUGAUGUUAGGCCAGACAUGACCUUCAAGGAGGAGCAGGUUUAGGUUUUGGAGCGUGAUGUAAAGGUCUUUCGAAAAAGUCUAUUCCCUUAGUGAAUGUUUUGUAGCAUAAUCAUAGCAUUGAGGAGGCCACGUGAGAGCCUGAGGAUGCGAUGCAUCAGCAAUAUCCUUAUCUGUUCUGGUCAGGUAAAAUUUUGAGGAUGAAAUUUUCUUUCAGGGGGUAAACUUGUAUCGCCCGAAAAUUUCUAAUUUCGUUAUUGUGAAAAUAUGACAUAAAUAUCUGUUAGCUUUAGUGGUUAUGUGUUCUGGGAGUGUUUUGGAAGUCUUAAGCUUAAGCUUUCUCUUUGACAAAUUUUGGUAUUUUGAAUGAAUUAGGCCUUACUCUUGUUUAGUAGACUUUUAUUUGAUUGUUGGGUAAAUUAUAUCAUUAUGGCCCUGCUGGCCUAGUGGUUAAAUGGUGUGUUAUUAUUGUGGAGGUCUUGUGUUCGAAUCCCUAUGCAGGAAAGGGUAUUUUUUUGCUCAAAUUUCGGGAUAAAAUUGUGUAAUAGGACAAAAUUUUGACUCUCUUUUCCAAAAAAAAUUCUACCGUCUAUUAUUUUCCCUCUCUUCUUGCUGAAAAUUCUCUGAGUUUUUCUAUCUUUCUCUUUUUUUUCUUCUUCUUGAUUUUUCCUAAUCCAUUUAUUUUCCUUCGUUUUCGCACGCAGUUACUGCUCGCUUAGUUUUGGUAAGUGCUUCUCUUCGUUUCUAUCAUGAAUCUCUUAAUGACUGAAGUGGUAAUGUUUUUUCUCAGCGAUUUGGGUGUAGGGGAGUCUCAGAAUAGUGAAUUCAAUGUUCUCGUCUUAACAAUAGUUAAACAGAGGUUCAUCGUUGGUCGUAAGUUGGAUUUCUAUUCGUUCUUGGUUGUCAAUUCACUUCUAAUCCGUUAAAUUGAUGUUGAGUAUCUUGAUUAUAGGCUUUGGAGUGCUCGGGGACUGUUUUAGCUUCAAACAAAACCAGGUGUGUACCCGAAACGCAAAAAAAAAAGAGAUUCGGCGAGAAGUAGAAAUUGUUUGUUGUUCGAACAGCAGCAGUAAGCUAACUUUAAAAAAUCACCAUAAAUUGUAGAAAUCGAAUUAGAGGAUUAAAAAAAUAUGGAAUUAAAUCUUAUUAAGUCUAGUUUCUCAUAGAAGAAACGGUGUAAGUAAUGGAAUUGUAAAUCGUGAGGUAUGAUAAACUUUGUGAGACAAGGAUAGAUUGAAUUUGGGUUCCCCUGUUCUGAAUUUGAAAAAUUAUCAAAAAUUGUAGAAAAAUAAUUAGGGGUUAAAAUGUACAUGUUUAAAUUAUUAAUGAGUCUAUUUUCAAUAGAAACAAAUGGAAACAUCAUCUAAAUUUUGUACUAAGAGAUAAUUAAUUUUUAGAAAAGAAGGGACGAAGCUGUCAGACAGUAGAACGGGGGUAAGUUGAAGAUUUUACUGUACUUAAUGGCUAAACUAAAAAUUAUGAAAAUUUUAUGAUAGAAAGGUAUUUGGGUUUAGUAACAGUGACUCAUGUAGACACAUUUGAAGGAACAUAUAAGUAUAUAGUGAAAACAUAUAUGAAUAAUUAAGUAGCAUGGGUUACAUUAAAAAUAGAUCAUGUGGCUAAGGCCAAUUUGGGCCGAGUGGGCCACAUGGGCUUGUGAGCGCAACUUUCUAAAAAGUUCUGUAAGGUUGCACGGGUCGCCCAAGUCGACUGUGGACCUACUGUAGGGUCGGUAAGCCAUACUUCGACCCCUAUAUGUGUGAUCUGUUUGUCUGAUUUCUAUAGCAAGUAUGAGUUAUGAUAUCUGAAUGUAUGUGAUAUUAAUUGCAUAAUGGCAUGACAUAUUUUGUAUGUUGCAUUGCAUCGGGGUGGGUUGAUGAUAUUUGGAGGAAGUGUCUGAAAGGCUAUUAAGGUUGUUAUUUGGCAGCUCAAUUGCAACCUUCUGAUUAUGUGCCACAUUUCGAUACAGCAUGGUGUGUAGGGAUGGGUGGGUUGAUUUAAUCCCUACAUGGUUUGUAGGGUUGGACAGAGAUGGUGUGUAGAGGCUGGUGGGUAGGAUUUUGAUUUACUGUAUCUGUAUUCUAUAUUUGAUAUGGGCUAAGGCCCUAAUGUAUUUCUAAGACUGUAUAUGAAUGGGCCAAGGCCAAAACUGAUUUUGUGAUGGGCACGAGCCCCAGACUGUAUCUAACUAAAUUCUAUUGAUUAUAUGUAUGCAUGUUUUCUAUGGGGAUUACACACUGAGUUUACAAAAACCCACCCUUUCUCUGUUUAACCUGUACAGGUAAUCCCCAGACUUGACGGGUCGGUGCAGCAGAGGACUCGACGGUGGCCACACGUAAAUUUUAGACUGUUUUCCGUUAAUGCCUAGAAUUUAUUACUUAUUUGGGGUUUUUUGAUGUAUCUUCUGGACUAUGGACUGCUUGGCUUUAAAUUUGGGACUUUAUACUGUUUUUUUAUGAUUUUUUUAAACUGCAACUCAACAAAACACUAUUUUUUUCUAAAAACUAAGGUUUUUCAUAAAUAGAAAUGAUUUUCCCUAAAUUAAUUGGUUACAAAAACUUCUGCUAAGAGACAAGUUUUAAAGCAAAUCAACUAGUUUUUUUUUCGAAUUAAGUAAAAGCUAACUUAUUGUAACGAUUUUUAAACUCGACAAUCUUGUCUUCAAAUCCCUUUCCAUGUGACAUCGCCAAAUUCGGCCAUAACGUCUAGGCCGAGUUUGGGGUGUUACAAUGGGCAUGAGAUAGAUGUUUUAAUUAGUUUAAGUAAAGGUUAAUUAAGUAAUUUGAUAAAUAAAGUAAAAUAUGUAAAAAACAAGGUAUCAUCUUCUUGAAGUGAAUUUUCCACCGAAAAUUAAAGGAGAGAAAGGCCAUAGCUAGGGUUCUUGGUUCAGCAACUUCUAAUGCUUGCAUGUAAGCUAGCCCAGGGACUAAUUUACAAAAAUAUUAAAAUUUUAGAGUUUUACCAUGAACAUUUGCAUGUUUCUUGAAGUUUAAUGAAUGAUUAUGAGUCCUUAGUGAAUUCGGCUAGUAUGAAAUAUGAAUGAAAAUUCUUAAAUCUUAUUUUACGAGCUUUAGGACUAAAUUGUGAAAAGUUAAAAUAUUAAGUGUAAAAUUAUAAUUAUUCAUAAAUGUGGAUUAUGGACUGAAUUGAAUGUUUGAUAUUGAUUGAAAAAAUUAAUUGAAUAUAAUUAUUUAUUUAUAUCAAGAUAAAUCUCAACUGGAUCUAAACCGAGGAAAGGCGAAAAUCACGAAUUAGCUCGAUCGUAUUUCUGCACUCUAGUUGUCAAUGUAAGUUCAUAGUAUUUAAAUGUGUAAUUGAAUUUCUACUUGUAUUUUCGUAUUAUAGUUAUGUAACUAAAUGCUUAUAGUUAAUUAUUCUCUGAAUUGCACAUACGUGCCCCUCUUCAUUAUGAAUAAAGUCAUGCAACUUAAACGUUCGAAUUAGAAAUAUUAUCCCAUAUCACGGUUCUUAAUAAAAUAAAAUGGAAAUAGUAAUAAUAAUAGUGGUACUAAUAAUAUUUUGUUUUAAUAGUUAUUACUAUUAUUUAUUUAUUUAAGUGUUAAAUUAGGAUUAAAUUUUUUAUUAAAUAAAUAUUUAAGAUUUAUAGUUGAAGCAUUCAAUUAAGAGUGAAACCCUUUUUUGGCAUAUGACAAUUAAGGGAAUAGGGGAUUUUUAUUUUUUACAUUUUGGCUGCUUAGGUUGGAAAUUCUCUACCCUUGUUUUUUUUAAUUUUCAAUAAAAUUUCUUUUCUUAUUUUUAUUGCUAUUUUUAUUAUGCAUAGCUAAAUGUCAAUUCUAAUUUUAGGCCAAAAAUUAUUUCAAUGUUAGAACUAUUAAAUUUGAAACCAUAAUUACACUAUUUACUUUGGUUUUCAUUAACUCACUUGUUUAUGUGGUAGAUUCAACCAUCUCAUAACGUCAUUUUAGCAUCAAAUUAAGAAGGGUGACCCUUGAUUCAAUGUUGGACAUCAUACUGUUAGUGAAUCAAUAUGAUCUAUAAUUUUUGUAUUAAUCUCACUCAAUAAAAAUUGGCGUGACAAAUCAAUUGAGUUGUUGGAUCCGUCAAGGGAAUUAAUAAUCAAGUUUAAACAAUCGGCGCAGUUGAGACCGUUAAUUUGAGUCGGGUUCUUCUAACUCAUCAAAUUGGUGUGACAAAUUGAAUAACUAGAUGGGUUUAAGUAUGAAGAGUCUGUGUCUAUCUCUGGAGUCGUCAAAGGGGUCCGUCGGACUAAAAACACGAAUCUUUGAAACAAAAAGUCCAUGGCAAUGGCGAUGAAAUUAAAAAGACCGUAUGGUAUAAAACUGUAAUUGGUGGCUUAUGACAUCAUUAGGAAAAACUUAAGGAAGAUUAUUACCUAAUGUGGUUCUUAAGUGUCCCAAGACGAUGAGGGGAAAAUCUCACUAAGUGUGAGUCUAGGCAAAUCCCUAUCGCCUAAACGGGUUGAGACUUGAAUCCUUGCCUUUUUAAGUGUGUUAUUUAUUUUUGCAUUUUCUUUUUAGUUUGCCUAAUGUAUGGUUUGCCUUUUUCUUUUUUACUUACAUUCAUGUAACUUAUUUGGGAUCCUUGAUUUCUACUAGUAUUGAAUAUAUGAACAUCCAGUCUUUGGAAAAUUAAAAAAAAUUAACGUAAAAAUGGAUUCACAGAUAUAGAGUUUGUAUUGGAUAGUUGAUUAUGUGCUUAAUUGAUUUUUUUAUGAUUAAUUUUAAUUAAUUUUGGAUAUAGAUGCUAUUAAUUUUGGUAUUUUUUUCUAUUAAUUUGACAUAACAUUGAACUUCACAACCUCAUGUGUUAAGUAUUCUCCAAAAAAAUGUUUUUCGAGAAAUAAAUUUUGGAAACACUUAAUGAAUUAAAUAAUAUUAAAAUAUGUUAUACUUAAGUUAAAAUAUGAUCUCUCAUGAAUAAUUAUUAAAAAAGGCUAAAUUAUUGUACUAGUCCCUAUACUUUAUAAAAGUUUUGAAUUUAGUCUUUGUACUUUAAUUUAAUCAUUUUUAAUCCAUGUACUUUUCAAAAUUUAAAAUUUCCAUCCUCAGUAAACGAUUCAAUUCAUUAAGUUAUGUUAUUUCCAAAAUUUGAUAAGGAAAACAUAUGAUCAUAUGUGUAAUGCUAUGUUAGCUUGUUAUUUCUACACAUUACUUACUAAAAAUCCAGUUAAUGGAUAAAUGACUGUCAUUUGCAUCAAGACUGAAAAUUCAAAAUUCUAAAAGUAUAGAGACUUAAACUAAUCCAAUUGGAGAAUAUUGACUAAAUAAAACUUGUAUGCAUAGUAUAAAUUAUUCGGAACACAAAUUCUAUUGCGAUAAUGUAACAUACCAUUAUCAUCAAUGCCCUACUCUUAACUCAAUGUAUCAUAAACCAUUUAUUGUUUCAACACCAAUUGCAGAUCAUCAAAUUGCAAUUCCUAAAUUCAUUGAAGAAACAGAGGUUUCAUUCUCGACUCUGCUAAUACGGAACCAUCUUCAUUAAGAGAUAAAUGAGCGUUCAACAUUCAUAGUGUAAAUAAUGACGACUUUCGACUAAGUGCAUCCGCAACCACAUUAGCCUUUCCCGGAUGGUAGUAAAUGAUCAGAUCAUAAUCUUUUAGUAACACUAGCCACCAUCUCUAUCUCAAAUUCAAUUCUUUCUGAGUGAUCAAAUACUUCAAACAUUUGUGAUCUAUAAACACGUAACAUUUCUCGCCGUAUAAAUAAUGUCUCCAAAUCUUCAAAGAAAAUACGAUUGUAGCCAACUCAAGAUCAUUUGUAGGAUAAUUCUUCUUGUGCGGCUUUAAUUUUCGAGAAGCAUAGGUCACUACCUUUCUUGACUGUAUCAGUACACAACCCAAACUAUUUAGAUAUGCAUCACUAAAAACAACAUAUGGUACACUAGAUUUUGGCUGAGUCAAAACUAGAGCUUCCGUUAACAUCUUCUUUAUCUGAUAAAAACUCUACUGACACUCAUUUGACCAAAAAAAAUUAACAUUUUUCUGUAAUAAUUGAGUCAACAGCGAAGCAAUCAUCAAAAAGGUUUUGACAAAAUGUCAGUAGUAACCUGCUAGACCUAGAAAACUUCGCACUUUUGAAACAUUUUUUGGAAUUUUCCAAUUUAUCACAGUAGAUACUUUGCUCGAGUAAACUCGAAUCCUAUCAGUGAUACGAUAUGAUCAAAAAAUCCAACGUCGUGAUGCCAGAAUUCACAUUUGCUAAACUUUGUGUCCAACUGUUUUUCUCUCAAAGUCUAUAGCACAAUCCUCAAAUGUUGUGCAUCCUUAGAUUCUGUCUUGAAAUAGAUUAGUAUAUCAUCAAUAAACACAACCACAAAUUUAUCCAAAUUAGGAUGAAAAAUCUGAUUCAUUAGAUCCAUGAAAGCAGCAGGAGAAUUUGUCAAACCAAAUAGCACGUCACUCUAUAACCUUCAACUGCUAAUACCCGGAUCUAAGGUCUAUAUUCAAAAACACUACGGCACCUUUCAGUUGAUCAAAUAGAUCGUCGAUACGUGCCAAAGGAUAUUUAUUUUUAAUUCUUAUCUUGUUCAACUGUCUGUAGUCUAGAGACAGUCUCAAAGAACUAUUUUUUUCACAAAUAAAAUAGGUGCACCCAAUUAGACAUGAUCGGUCUGAUAAACCCUAGGUCUAAUAACUCUUGCAACUAUGCCUUUAAUUCCUUUAAUUCAGCUAGUGCCAUACGGUAUGGUGUUACUGAUAUUGGAGCAAUUCCAGGAAUCACAUCAAUUGCAAACUCAACUUCAUGAUCAAGUGGUAAACCCGACAAUUCUUCACGAAAUACAUUAGCAAACUUACUAACAAUUGGUAACUGAUCUAGCUUUAUUUCUGAACUCCAAGUAUCAAGACUGUAAGCUAGAAAUGCCUCAUUACCUUUUUGCAUAAAUCUUUGAGCAAAAAAUGCUGAAAUGAUUCUAACAAUAUCCUUCGGAUUCUCAGACACAACUGAAAUCACCUCUCCUGUCUGACAUUUCAGAUCAAUCUGUUUGUGUCUACAAUUUACUACAACAUCAUGCAUCGAUAACCAAUCCAUUCCCAGAAUAACAUCAAAUUCCUAAAAAGGUAGCAACAUCAAACCAGUAGGAAAUUCACAGCCUUUCGUUUUCAGUGGACAAUUACGACACACUAAAUUAACUAUUACACUUUGACCUAAUGGAUUAGUAACUUGAAUAUUAUAAUCGGUAGCUUCAACAGGCAUCUUCUUUUCUGUUACUAAUGUAGUGCAAAUAUAAGAUAGAGUGGACCCAGGGUCAAUUAACACAUAUAUUGUAACAUCAAAGAGAUAGAAUGUAUCAGCAAUCACAUCUGAGGCUGUAGCUUCCUCUCUUGCUGGAAUGGCAUAGGUACCCGCAGGUGCUCUAGCCUCUGACCAAGCAGUAGUAUCUUUCAUACCUGAACGAGCAGUCUCAUUGGCACCAUUUUGCCCCGAACACUUACUUCUCUGAAAAGUAGCUAAUUUUUUUCUUUUUGCUCAUCAUCUUUUUUCUUUUUGUAAUUGAGGACAGUUUCAGAUAAAAUGAUUAGUUGCUCCACAUUUGUAACAAGCCCCCCACUUUAGAACUACAUUCACCAGGGUGGUAUUUCCCACAGUAUCUGCAUUUGGGCUUAGGAGUAUUUUGCACACUACCCACACUAACAACGGGUCUGGUAGUUCUUUCGAAAUCUUGUUGAAUUAUCUUGUUUUAAAAAGUCAAUGUGUUGAAUUUUUUUCAUUUACCAAUUACUGAAUAUAAUUAUUUCAAUAAUUAUAGUUUUGAAUUUCUUGUUUUAAAAAUUUGACCUUAGACAAAAUAUGAAAUAUUUUAAUAAUGAUAGUAGAAGUAUAAAAUUGUACCAAGUUAAAAUAUGAAAAUUAAAUUCUCAAAUUACCAUAAUAUAUAGACAAAAAUCACCUUUAGAUAAUUAUCUAAUGCAAAUGUUUUAAAGAAGGUAAAACAUUAUGACGAAAGAGUAAAACUUAAAAGUUAAAAUCUGUUGUUAGUCUUUGUAUUUUUAUAUAAUUUGACACCCAGUCUUUGUGCUUUAAAAGUUAAAAGUUCAAUGCUUCUACUUUUUCAAUUCAAAAAUCCUAGCCCAAUCAUUUUCAUUGUUGGUAGUUUCGAUCAGAAUUUACCAACUUAAGAUUUUUAUUUUUCGCUAAUCAUAUGACAUUUGAGAAUAGCCUAAUGAACAAAUGAAGUUGAGAUUUCUUUUUUACAGGAAAUACUAACAACGAUAAUGAUUAGGUUUAGAUUUUUAAAUAAAAAAAGUAAGACUUAAUUUUUAUCUUUUAAAUAUAAUGACUAAAGUUUAAAUUUUAUCAAAGUAUAAGGAAUAACAACUUAUUUGAACCAAACUUAAUAUGCCAUUGAAGUUCUAUUUCAAUAUUGUUUUUCAACUCCCUCUGAAAAGAGUAAUGCUUAUUACAAACUGUCUAGCAAUAAAUUAUGAAAAAGGAAAACGAAAAUUAAAAAAAAAGAUUAAUAAUAUAAAUAGAGCUUUCCAUGGUUUUGAGGUGUUUACCUUUCCAAAUAGUGUAAUCUCACCUUGUAACACCCCAUACCCAGCCUGGUCGCCAAGCCCAAAUAUCAACAUGCCACACCACCGUCUCAUGUCAAAUACAACAAGUAAAAGCUCAUUCUCAACCAAACGUCUUCCAUUUUAACAUUUGUACAGGUUUAGAGUCUAUCUUAAGCUUUAGUUAUCGUCGUUACAUGCUAACAUACAUCAAAUACCCUUAAAAUAAUAAUUAAGCAUGCAUAUGGUCCGUUUUAGUAAAAUCUCAAAACAUCAACGUAGGUAUCGAUACUAAAGAUGUGGUAUUGAUAUUUUGCUCAAGAGGUAUCAAUACUGCAUGGAAAAUAGGUACCAAAAUUGCUUACUAUUUUUCACUUAAAAACCCAAACUUCGAAAAUUAUUGAUACCCCUACCAAAGUAUCGAUAUUUCUUCCCCGAGUAUCGAUACUCGAGAUAAGGUGUCGGUGCCGAAUCUCUAUUCCAUUUUCCUGCAUGUUUGAAAAUAAAAAGGUAUCAUUUUUAAAACAUGAAUAUCGAUACCUCUACUCUAUACUCAAAAAAUACAACAUUUUUAAGCAUAUAAGUCAUUCCAACUCGUAUCAGUUCAACAUGCUAUCAUAUCGUCAUCAAAUAAACACCGAAAUGGUCAUAAUAAUAGUUUCCAACAUCAAAAAAAAAACCCGAGCAAUAGUCAACAUAUUACGAAACAAAUCCCAAAAUCCUAAGAGCAAUUAAAUUAUGGAGACAACUCAAAAUAUCAUAUCCAAUAUUAGCACAAAGACUACCACAUUACAAGUUUAAGAAGGGAGUGGGUGAGCUCAACAAGCUCAGUGAAUGCUCAGAGUAACCACAAUGUACACACAAUAUCAAAGGUCAAUCAAGAGCAUACUACAGCACAUUCACUACCAUAUUCCAUUCGAGUGAGAAUUACAUGUUUAGGCUUCUUUAUUUAACAAUAAUUCGUCAAGACCAAAACAACAUAUACAUGCCUUAAUAACUCACAAGUUUAACUCAUAUAUUCACAGGCGUUCACAAAUUAUAUGAAAACAACCCAAUCCACAAUUACAUACGCAAUUUACUAUGAGAACAUACUAACGUUUUCAUGUAACUUAAAUAAACUCAUUUAACAUAUUAUUCACAAUUAAAAACAUCUAUCUCUUAUUGUAUUAUCACAGCAUAUAAGAUUAUAUUUAAACGAUAAAUUGGCACUUGAGGCUAUGAAGCAUAAAAUGAGCUCUAUCAUCACUCAUCGGAUACACGGAUCUCCAACACACCAAUUGACUCAUAAAGUCGAACAUAUCUCAAAACUGAAGCAUAAACUAGCACUCUCCGACACACCAAACAUGUCCCGUCGAAAAAAGCUUAGCUCACAUUCCCUUAUCUCUCCAACUUGUCCCAGGGCCUCAACGCCUAAAUCACAUAACAUAUAUAGGUGAGUACUCAUAAUCCUAUGGCAUGCCAACCAUAUCCAACGGUCUCAUAAGGUCAUAAGGCCAAAAUAUCCAUAUCAUAACUACAUAUUUUUAAUUACUGAUUUAAUGCAUAUCAUCUCUGUUCAUAUUCAUCAAUUCACAUCACAAACUUGUACACAAUGCAUACUUAUCAAAUUCACAUUUAAUUGCACUUAAAGUGCCAAAAUAAUGCUCAUUGAGCCAUCAUAUAUCCGUCAACGUAUGAGUGUAUUAAAAUCAAUUUAUAACAUACAAAAACCUAUUACGUUAGCAUCAUAUUUCACAAUGCAACACAUACAUACUUACCAGCUUUUACACACUUUCACUGCACAUCUUUAUAUCGCUAACACAACAUCAUUAUUGUCAUUCGACAUAUUUAAUAUACUCACAAUACAAUACAAUUCACAAUAUUGUAUGAUACCAAUCAAUUCAUAGUUAUUCACAUAUUCGCAUAAUUUGCCAAAAAUAAAACAAGAAAAAUAGAAAGCUUACACUCGGAACUUAUGAUAAAGGUUUGGCUUAUACUUAAUUCUUUUACCUAAAACAAAUUCCAUUCACCUAAUUAUUCACCUACGACUGAUUCUCAACCUUUAAACUACUCAAAACUAUUCAGUUCAUUGUAUCAAAAUUUUUGACAUGUUUAUGGCAAUUUUCUCGAAAUUUCAUUAAAUCCUUAGAAAUCUUUAACGAAACUUUAAAGUAAGUUUAGAAACCUUCUAAUCAUGUUAAAACUAAUUUAAAAUUCCUUUGAAACUACAUUUUUAUCCACAAACCAGAAAUUCACAAUUAAAAACCUGAUUUUUGACUUUUAUUUAAAACAUGCAUUUCAAUGGCUAAGAAUUCAGUUUAUGAGACUAGAUAUCAUUUAAAACUCACAGAAAGUCAAAUGGUUGCCUUUGAUGGAAGAAAAAUGAACUUUGACGCUAAUCUAGAAAACCCACGUUUGGAGAAGAUGAUGUAGAUGAUGAAGUUUUUGGGUGAUUUUCUUGGGUUUUAUAGAGGUUUAUAACUUAAGAGAUGAUAGAAACCAAAAUGAAUUAGAAUUUGGAGUUAAAAAUUGAUUGAAAUAGCAAGAAAGAAUCAAGGGACGACAAACACAAAUUUUGGUAGUUAUGUCAAAUAACUUGGUGAAGAGAGGUUAUUUAACUUGGAUUUUAAAAUCUGGCUAAAUUACUUCUUAAAAACUCUCAAUUUUUACUCUUUUACAAAUUAGUCCUAUUUUCAAAAUUAAAGGUAUUUAAAAUUCAUUUUAAGAAAUUGGUUUAAUUUUCAAAAAACCAUAAUUGAAAACAUUACCGAUAUGCCGUGUCACGAAAUUUCAAACACUCUAAGGCUAAAAUUCUUAAAAUACCCCUAAAACUCCUAGGCCCUAUUUUGAAGUGUUACACACUUAUACGUGAAAGACUUUUACGUGGAGUUUCUUUUAUCGUAUUAUUUUUUUAAAAAUUAUUCUAUACAUCUUAUAUUUCAUAUAUAUAUAGUUUGUAGAGUAAGGGUGUGACAUAUGUACAAGGUAUAGUUAAAUUUUUAAAAAUAUUAAUAUAUAAACAAACGAGACACUUGUUAUAUUUUUAAGCAUGCUUAUGGAACCUAAAACCUUUACAAAGUGUGUAUCACAAAAUUACUUAUCAUAUGUCAUGCAUAUAAAUUUUUGAAUUGAUCUGAUAUCUAUAUUAUAUCAAUAUAAAGUAUUGUUUAUAAUAAUAUUUAUUAAGUGAUAGAAUUUUUUUACAUAAAACAAAUAGCUAAAUAAUUUUAAUUUACGUUAAAUUUGACAUAUAUGAUCUAUAUAAAUGGAAUAUAAUAUAUGACCAUUAAAUCGUUAAAAUGUUAAUAAUACAUAAAUAUCAAUUUUACAGCAGAUCUAUUCUCAUACCCAUCACUUUUUUUAAUCUUUUCUUUAUGAUUUUUCCCUCCCCUACAUUUUUGUCUUAUAUUUCUUUAUUCUUGUUUUUUAUUUUACACUUUCUCUUCUUCUUUAGCCCUAACCUAGUCGUUACCUACCCUGUCGAUCGUCGAUGCCUUUACGGCCAACUAAGACCACCAGACGAGAGCCCAACGCUUUGAUAAGGAAUGAUUUAUGCAACGAUUAUUUUGGGUUUUAAGUCCUGUUAUUUUGGUUUAUUUUAUUUCUGUUAUUUGUCGCUAUUUAAAACGAUGUGUUUCACCAAAUGUUUUAAUGAAACACUGUGUAGAGGAGCUGGCCUAAUGGUCUGCUAAAUACGGGUUGUACAACUAUUUUGGUUUUGGUUGCUACAAUUACGAAAUUACACAUGAAUUGAUUUCUCCUCUCUCUUAAUUCUUUCUAUCCCUUCUCUAAUAUUCUUCUCCUUCUUCUGUUUUCACUUUGAGAAAAUCUACCACAUCAAAGGUAUUAGAGCCCACUAUUCUCCAUGACCAGUGAGGGCUCAACUACUCGUCUUCAGAAAGAGAUGUCCCACAUCCAAUAGGAAAUCUCUCAGAUGCAGGCAGACCUUUCUCAGCUUAACGGUAGGAUGGAUGAACUCUGUGGAGAGCUUCAAGUAAAAAUUUAAGUUCUUUUUUAACAGUAUCUGGGCCAUGUGACUUCAUCGACAGCUCUUAAUCCUUCUCAGGAUAAGGGUAAGGGAAUAUUUGGGAAGGCUUUACCUAGUUUUGCUAAGGAAGCUUAGGCAGAUUUGGGACCAACGGGAGUAUAGCAUCCCGCUCGGCAAUGUCUUGAUGAUCAAACGAUGUUAUUGGAAGCAAGGCACAAAAAGUAAGAAUUGAGUGAAUAAGACAUAAGGAUUUGACUAAGCAUAAGAAAUUCCUCAAAAAUGCCUAUAUGACCUAGCUUGAUAGAUUCUGAAAGAAAAGUUCUGUAAGAAGUGUUAUGGAGAACCGAAAGUAUUCUGUCUUUGAGGCCUGCUAUAAAAGGAAAUGUUAAGGGAAAUCAUAAAAAGGAUAAUGUAUGACCAAAAAAACAAUAAUGGUAUGAAUGAACGAAUACAUGGAUAUGGCACAUAGUCAUAGAAGGGUAUGAUUGGUGAAUUAGUAUUUGAUAACUCUUGAAAAGAGUUAUAAUUCAUGCCUUUAGACUGGGUCAAUUAUCUGUACUUAAGUGAACUUAGUUGCAUUUUAGGAUAUUAUUUUAGCAUUUUAGAACAUUGCAUAGGAAGCUUGGAUGGUGCUUAAGUAUUAUUAUUUUUUACUUUUAAUUGCAUGUGGAAGGGUUGUGUUUGGUGGUUUGGCAAGUGCAGAUUAAGGAAGGAGAAAUAAAUGAGUAAAGGUUUGCUAGGGCAAAAGGUUGGACACUUUGCUAGCACGAAUAACGUGGCAAUUCCAGGAAGGCAGAGUCAACACUCAAUGCAUACCAGUUUCAACCCAACUAUACUUGUACCAGAAAAAUCUGCCUAAAAAUAAGAAAAGAUAAUCCUGGGCUGUUGGUUUUUAUCCUUGAGAAAAGAAUUUAAAAAGAGGAAAUUAUAAUAUUUGGUUGUUGGAUUUACCCUAGGGAAAAUGCGUAUAAAAAGCCAAUGGAGGAAACCCAAGAAGGGCGAACAACUGGGAGAGAUCCUUAGGCAAGAAUAGAGGGUAGAUAUUUUGGAGGUGAAUUAAAUUUUGGAUAAGUAAUUUACGGAGUUAUAUUAGAGGUGAAUUAAAUUUUGGCAAUAUUAUUAAUAUUUACGGAGUUAUAUUAGAGGUGAAUUAAAUUUUGGAUAAGUAAUUUUCAUGAGUUAAGAGUUAUUAAGGUACUGGGACUAAAUCCUUUUUAAAGUUAAAAGGUUGAAUUAAAUUAAAUCAUAAAAUAGAAUAGAAAUAAAGGACUUAAAAAGCAGUUAUACCUUUGCUUAGUUGUAGUAAGAUUUAUAUAUAUUAUAUAUAAGUUUUAUGUAUUAUGUCAAAUUAUAUCAAAUUGUAAUAAAUAUUAUAUCAAAUUAUAAUGAAAUAUAAUAAAUAAAUAAAUAAAUGAAAAAAAUAAAGACAAUUGGAAGAUAAGUGAAUGAAAGAGAAUUCUUUCAUGCAACCAUUUUGUAUGAAGCUAAGAAGAAUAAGAGAAAGAAACACACGGCUUAUGGGAUAUAGGUUCAAGCUCAAAAUUGGUUAGUGCAAUUUAGUCAUUUGCGUCAAGACUGAAAAUUCAAAAUUCUAAAACUAUAGAGACUUAAACAAAUCUAAUUGGAGAUUAUUGACUAAAUAAAAAUUGUAUGUAUAGUACAAGAUAAGCAAUUCAAUUUAACCAAAUGGGUCAGGACUAAAAUUUCAAAUUUUAAAAAAGUAUUGGGACUAAAAUUGACAAAUUCGAAAAGUAAAAUGACUAAAAUUAUUAUUAUUAUUAUUAUUAUUAGUACCAUCUCAUAACGUCAUUUUAGUAUCAAAUCAAGAAGUGCGCCCCUUGAUUCAAUGUUGGACAUCAUACUGUUAGUGAAUCAAUAUGACCUAUAAUUUUUGUAUUCAUCUCACUAAAUAACAAAUUGGCGUGACAAAUUGAGUGAGUAGUUGGAUCCAUCAAAGGAAUUAAUAAUCAAGUUUAAACAAUCGGCGUAGUUGAGGCCGUUGAUUUGACUCGGGUUCUUCUAACUCAUCAAAUUGGUGUGACAAAUUGAGUGAGUAGAUGAGUCUAAGUAUGAAGAGUCUGUGUCUAUCUCCGGAGUUGUCAAAGGGGUCCGUCGGACUAAAAACAUGAAUCUUUGAAAGGACAAGUCCAUGGUCAUGGCGCUGAAAGAAGACCAUAUUGUAUAAAACUGUAAUUGGUGGGAUAUGACAUCAUGAGGAAAAACUUAAGGAAGAUUAUUACCUAAUGUGGUUCCUUACGUGUCCCAAGAAGGUGAGGGGCAAACCUUACUAAGUGUGAGUCUAGACAAAUCCCUAUCGCUUAAAAGGGUUGAGAUUUGGAUCCUUGCCUUUUUAAGUGUGUUAUUUAUUUUUGCAUUUUCUUUUUAGUUUGCCUAAUGUAUGGUUUGCCUUUUUCUUUUUUACUUACUUUCAUGUAACUUAUUUGGGAUCCUUGAUUUCUACUAGUAUUGAAUAUAUGAAUAUUCAGUCUUCGAAAAAAUUUUAAAAAAUAUUUAACAUAAAAAUGGAAUCACAGAUGUAGACUUUGUUUUGGAUAGUUGAUAAUGUGCUUAAUUGAUAUUUUUUAUGAUAAAUUUUAAUUACUUUUGGAUAUAGAUGCUAUUAAUUUUGGUUUUUUUUCUAUUAAUUUGACAUAGCAUUGAACUUCACAACCUCAUAUGUUAAGUAUUCUCCAAAAAAAUGUUUUUCGAGAAAUAAAUUUUGGAAACACUUAAUUAAUUAAAUAUGAUCUCCCAUGAAUAAUUAUUAAAAAAGGUUAAAUUCUUGUACUAGUCCCUAUGCUUCAUAAAAGUUGUGAAUUUAGUCUCUGUACUUUAAUUUAAUCAUUUUUAAUCCAUGUACUUUUCAAAUUUUAAAAUUUCCACCCUCAGCAAACGAUUAAAUUCAUUAAGUUCUCCAAAAUUUGAUAAGGAAAACAUAUGAUCAUAUGUGUAAUGCUACGUCAGCUUGUUAUUUCUACACAUUACUCACUAAAAAUCCAGUUAAUGGAUAAAUGACUGUCAUUUGCGUCAAGACUGAAAAUUCAAAAUUCUAAAAGUAUAGAGACUUAAACUAAUCCAAUUGGAGAAUAUUGACUAAAUAAAAAUUGUAUGUAUAGUAUAGGACUAGUAAUUGAAUUUAACCAAAUGGGUUUAACUGCUAUUGUUUGGGUCAGGACUAAAAUUUCAAAUUUUUAAAAAGUAUUGGGACUAAAAUUGACCAAUUCGAAUAGUAAAAUGACUAAAAUUAAUUGAAGAAAAAUAUAGGGACUAAAUCCACAAAUUUUGAUAAAUACAUGCACUAAUAGCAGAAUUUAACAAGAAAAACCUAGGUUGUUUUCUUCGGAACCUAAGAUUGCAUGUGAAAGGCUUCUUUUUUUUCCUUCCUGAACUUCCAUCACUAUUUCCAUCAAGUUUCUUUGUAAAACUGCAUUUUCCUUUCCCUGUUUACUCGUUUCAAGAAUUUUAUUAUUUUAUUCAAUUCUUAUAACAUUCCCUGUCAUUUCCUUGAUUUUCCUUCCUUUAUCAUUAUAUUUAAAUUUCAAAGUAAAUCAUGAAAAUGUUCAAUGGGUUUAGUAGGAAAUCAAAUCUGAAGGAAAUAUAACUUACAUUUAUGUUGCGAGUUAAUUAAUAGUUAUCAAGAAGUAAGAAAUGAACUGUAGUUAAAUAAAUUAUUAUAUCACUUAAUUAUUUUAUUUGUUGUUGAAUCCUCAAUAAGUUUAUUUUGAGUAUAAAAUAGUCAUUAAUUCUUUUUCUAACAAUGUAAUCAUCAAUUAAUAAUAAAAAAGAACAAAAAAGUUUGUAAUUUCCUGUUAUAUUUCCUUCUUGAGAGAAAAUUGCAUGGAUAAUUCCGGUUAACUUUCCUUUCAAUUGUGUAGAAAUUGUGUUUUUUACCAUGUUGGUCUAUAAAUACCAUGAAGCAGACAUCUAACCAAAACUAACCACAUUAUUCUUGAAUAGCAAUAAGCAAACAGAAGAUGGGAGAAAAAGGCAAAGACAAGUUAAAGAAAAAUUUCAAAGUUACUCCCUUCCCUUCUUUAAGAACUUUGGCAUAGCAUAUUACGUUUUUCUUUAACUUGUCUUUUCCCUUUUCUCUGCUAUUCUUCUUAACUUAUUUUCUCAACAUCGUAUGGAUGUACGUCGGAGGUUCAGUAUUGGGAGAGAGAAUGACUAAGGCAAGUUCAAGAAAAAAAUUAUCAAAUGACCAAAACAUUUUCAUUUAAAAAAACUAAUCUUUUUCUUUAACUUGCCUUUGUCAUUCUCUCAAUCUACUAUUUCUUUCAUAAAAAAGUGUUUAGGUUUAAAUAUUAAUUCGCUUUUCUUGCAUGAAAUGGUAAGCCACACACAUAUGUUACCUCAAAUCAAUCAUUUUCGGGCCUUAUAUUUAUAUCCCACUACUUUUAAUUGCAUGUGGAAGGGUUGUGUUUGGUGGUUUGGCAGGUGCAGAUUGAGGAAGGAGAAAUGAAGGAGUGAAGGUUUGCUGGGGCAAAAGGUUGGACACUUUGUAUUGAAAUAAAAAAUAUUUUUAGUGAGUGAGAAGAAAGUUGUUCUGUUUUAUUGAAUAUGACAAAAUUUUAAAAAAUAACAUAAAUAUCUACUUAAUUUCCCUUUAAAUUAUGAAUAAUGUCAUGCAACCUAAACGUUUGAAUUAGAAAUCUUAUCCCAUACCAUGGUUCAUAAUAAAAUAAAACGGAAACAACAACAAUAAUAAUGGUACUAAUAAUAUUUUAUUUUAAUAGUUAUUUUUAUUAUUUAUUUAUUUUAAUUGGGAUUAAUUUUUUUAUUAAAUAAAUAUUUAGGAUUUAUAUUUGAAGCAUUCAGUUAAAAGUGAAACCCUUUUAUGGGAGAGGGGAUCUUUAUUUUUUACAUUUGGGUUGCUUAGGUUGGGAAUUCUCCACCCUUGGUUUUUUUAUUUAUUUAAUUUCAAUAAAAGUUUUCUUUUCUUAUUUUUAUUGUUUUUUUUAUUAUGCAUAACUAAAUUUCAAUUCUAAUUUUAGGCCAAAAAUUAUUUCAAUGUUAGAAAUAUUAAAUUUGAAAUCAUAAUUACACUCUUUACUUUGGUUUUAGUUAACUCUCCAGUUUAGGAGGUAAAUUCGGCCAUCUCAUAACGUCAUUUUAGCAUCAAAUCAAGAAGGGCGCUCCUUGAUUCAAUGUUGGACGUCAUAUUGUUAGUGAAUCAAUAUGAUCUAUAAUUUUCUUAUUCAUCUCACUAAAUAACAAAUUGGCAUGACAAAUUGAGUGAGUAGUUGGAUUCGUCAAGAGAAUUAAUAAACAAGUUUAAACAAUAAGUCUUUCAAUUUCAAUUACAUAAGUCGCUUACCAAAUCUUACCAAAUCGAAGAGCGACUUACGGAUAAGAGUUCAUCGUUUUCAAAAGCCCGAAGGCUGAACAGAAACACAUAAGUGCUAAAUAGAAACCCAUGAGGGUUGAACAGAAGCUCAUAAGAGCUAAACGGAAACCCAAAAGGGUUAAACAAAAGCUCAAAAGAGCUGAACGGAAACUCAUAUGAGUUGAACAGAAGCUUGUGAGAGCUAAACCGAAAGUAAACACGAAAGUUCCCAACAAAUGCUGAACCUCGGUUUACUUGGGUAAUUUUUCGUCAAUUCCUCCUUUGUUCUCUUGCACCACACAACGAUUGUACUCAAAUCUCGUGUUCCAUUUAACUCAAAUAUUCACUUCAAAUUUAUAACUUAACAAUAAUUUCAUUUUCAAGAAUAUACUAAAUACAUAGUACCAUUCAUCAAUUUAAUAAAGAUAUUAAAUUUUAACCAUACGAACUUACCUGGGUUAAAUUGUAAUAUUUGUAGAAGUUUAGGGACUAUUCUAAAAAUAGUCAUUAAUUUUUUUUCUAACAAUGUAAUCAUCAAUUAAUAAUAAAAAAGAACAAAAAAGUUUGUAAUUUCCUGUUAUAUUUCCUUCUUGAGAGAAAAUGGGAGAAAAAGGCAAAGACAAGUUAAAGAAAAAUUUCAAAGUUAGUCCCUUCCCUUCUUUAAGAACUUAGGCAUAGCAUAUUAUGUUGCUCUUUUAAUUAUGAAUAAUAUCAUGUAUCUUAAAUGUUUGAAUUAGAAAUCUUAAUUCGCCUUUCUUGCCGACAAUGGUAAGCCACACACAUUCCACAUGCAUAUGUUAGCUCAGCUAAAUUAUUUUCAAACCUUAUAUUUUUAUUCCACUACUUAUAUUAAUUUGUUCAAAUAUACCUUUCUUUUAUUUUGUUACAUUGUAGGUAAUAUUAACAUAUAAAUGGACAAGCUCUUAUGUCAGAAAUUAUUUUAUUAUAUAGGCGAUAACAAAAUGUACCAAUAUAGGUUCACCAUAUGUUGUCAAAUGUAGUAACCCGUCGAUAUAGAUGCACUUAAACUAACAAAAUUUGACCGCUAGUAAAAAUAGACGUAGCUACAUGACAAAUUAUUUGUAGUGAGUGGGAAGAAAGUUGUUCUUUUUUUUUUGUGUUGAAUAUGACAAAAUAAAAAAUAAUAAUUAACAUAAAUAGGGAUUUACAGAUAUAGAGUUUGUAUUCAAUAGUUGAUAAUGUGCUUAAUUUACAUUUUUGCGAUUAAUUCUAAUUAAUUUUGAAUAUGGAUACUAUUAGUUUUGGUAUUUUUUUUCUCUUUAGGUGCAACACAUGUCUCUAAUAUUGGAAUGCAAGUUGAAAGGUGAAUUACUUAGACAAUUUGACAUGGAAGCAAAAUUGGCAGAAAAAUUUUCAUAAAAAAACAACAUUCUAAAUUUAUUAGAUUUGGGAUUAUUUUGUUUUAAUAGUUAUUUUUAUUAUUUAUUUGUAAAUAUAUUUAUUUAAGAGUUUAAUUAGGAUUAAAUUUUUUAUUAGAUAAAUAUUUAGGAUUUAUAUUUGAAGCAUUCAAUUAAAAGUGAAACCUUUUCUGUAAUAUGCAAUUAAGGGAUAGGGAAUUUUUAUUUUUUACAUUUUCAUUGCUUUGUUGGGGAAUUCUCCACCAUUGUUUUUUUUUAUCUUUUUUUAUUUUCAAUAAAAGUUUUUUUUAUUUUUAUUGUUAUUUUUAUUAUGCAUAGCUAAAUUAGGCUAAAAAUUAAUUCAACGUUAGAACUAUUAAAUUUGAAAUUGUAAUUACACUCUCUACAUUGGUAUUCGUUAACUCUCCACUUUAGAAGGUAGAUUCAGCCAUCUCAUAAUGUCAUUUUAGCAUUAAAUCAAAAAGGGCACCCCUUGAUUCAAUGUUGGUCGUCAUACUGUUAGUGAAUUAAUAUGAUCUGUAAUUUUUGUAUUCAUCUCAUCGAAUAACAAAUUAACAUGAAAAAUUGAGUGAGUAGUUGGAUCCGUCAAGGGAAUUAACAAUCAAGUUUACACAACCAGCGCAGCUGAGGUCGUUGAUUUGAGUCGGGUUCUUCUAACUCGUCAGGUUGUUGAAGAAUUAAAUUGUGGCUUAGUUCGGGAAGAUCACAUUAGCCAUCAAGGUGGCUCAGUCUUUAUCAAAAAUAAUUUUCAUUUGAACACCUAUUUUAUGCAAGUGAAUAUCUCAUUUUCUUUUAAAUUUAAUCUAUCAUCAUUAUAGCAGCGGAGUUAGUCCCUUCCCUUCUUUAAGAACUUAGGCAUAGCAUAUUACGUUUUUCUUUUACUUGUCUUUGCCCUUUUUCUCUGCUAUUCUUCUUAACUUAUUUUCUCAACAUCGUAUGGAUGUACAUCGGAGGUUCAGUAUUGGGAGAGAGAAUGACUAAGGCAAGUUCAAGAAAAAAAUUAUCAAAUGACCAAAACAUUUUCAUUUAAAAAAACUAAUCUUUUUCUUUAACUUGCCUUUGUCAUUCUCUCAAUCUACUAUUUCUUUCAUAAAAAAGUGUUUAGGUUUAAAUAUUAAUUCGCUUUUCUUGCAUGAAAUGGUAAGCCACACACAUAUGUUACCUCAAAUCAAUAAUUUUCAGACCUUACAUUUAUAUCCCACAACUUAAAUUAAUUUGUUCAAAUAUACCUUUCUUUUAUUUUGUUACAUUGCAGGUAACAUUGACAUAUAAAUGGAUGAGCUCUUAUGUCAAAAUUGUUUUCUUAUAAUGGGCGAUAACAAAAUGUAUCUAUAUAGGUUCACCAUAUGCUGUCAAAUGUAGCAACCCGUCGAUAUCGAUGCACUUAAACUAACGAAAUUUGACUGCUAGUAAAAAUAGACGUAGCUAUAUGACAAUUUUUUUUGUAGUGAGUGGGAAGAAAUUUGUUCUGUUUUUGUACUGAAUACGACAAAAUUGGGGGGGGGGGGAAACAUAAAUAUGAAUUCACAUAUAUAGAGUUUGUAUUCAAUAGUUGAUCAUGUUUUUAAUUGACUUUUUUGUGAUUAAUUCUAAUUAAUUUUGGGGCAUGUAUACUAUUAAUUUUUUUUUCUAUUUAGGUGUAAUUGGAAUGCAAGUUGAAAGGUGAAUUACUUAGACAAUUUGACAUGGAAGCAAAAUUGGUGAAAGAGUUUCAUAAA
rnacentral:lncRNA from 1 species